rnacentral:lncRNA from 1 species
GUGUGUGUGUGGGGUGGGCGGAUAAAAUAAAAAGUAAAACUGUAAAAGUUAAGUGUUUUGGCUACUUCAAAUAGGUAGUUUUUCAUGUACUGAAUGUUUACAUCCAAGUUUUUUAGGAAAAAAGAUAACUAUGUUAUUGUAUUUUUAUUGCAUUGUCAAAUACAACAAAUGAUAUAUGGAUGAUAUGCUUAUACUUUUACAAUCAUCUCAGCAAUACUAUUUUUGUCAAAUUUAGGUAAUAAACGCUACAUAAAUGUUUAGCUUGUCGAAGAUGAGAGAGAAAAGAACAACUUGAUUAAGUAACUACUAACAUCACAACACUAGAAAAUAUGUGAGAUAAUUGGAUUAAACUGGAUUAAAACGAUAUAAAUGAUUCAAUUACAAAAUAUAGCUCCAUACAAAAAUCUAUUUGUUAAUAGAUAUGAGUGAAAAUAUGUAAAAUAAGCUAAUGCUUUUAUUUCCAUCUAUUUUGUGUUUUUUUCUUAACCGAAUGAAGUUGUUUGUUCUAAGUUCCUAAUUAAUGAUUUAUAAACUUUCAAAUGAUUUGAAUAAGAAUGAACUUGCCAAGUAUCAUUUGUAAUACACAAGAAAAUAGUUUUUUAUAUUCAUAUAUUUGAUAUAAAUUCUUAAAUCUUCUGUUUUCAAGGAAAGAAACUAUUAUGUGAAUUUUAGAAGCCCUUUUUCUUAGGUGCUUAUUUUGUUAUGCCUUUAGUCGAAUACUUGCCCAGACUCCAAACCUUCAAGCCACUAGUUAGAUUUGUUUGUUUUUUCGGUCCAUGCGUUUGUCGAUUUUUGCGGUUACGGUCCCUGUGGUUCCAAAAUUACAAAGUUGGUCCUUCUCACCAGGUUUGUAUCAAAAUUGAAAAGACUGAUUUACUGUUUUAAUUUCUUUUUUUAGAUUUUCUUUAAUAUUAAUUAAACAUUAAAAAAUGCAAAAAAGAAAAUAAACCCCUAACCCCCACCCAACUCCUCCUUUCUUUACCUUCUUUCUCUGUGAUGCUGUUGGGGUUGCAAGCCGGUGAAAAUAGGGACAAUGUAAAGAAGAAGGGGUUGUUGAUCUGAUUCUGAUCAAACGGAAACUAGUAUAGUAUAUGUUCAAAAAUCUUUGGACAUGGAAAAAACCACCCUCAAUGAAUGCGUCAAUUGGGCCUUUAAUUGUCUUUACUUCAUCUAACUUGAUUUAAAUAUUAAAUUGCUACCUUAUGAAUUAGUGAAUAUAACAUCUUUCAUAACAUAAGGGAUAACUUAAUAUCUUAGGAAUGAAAUAUUAAUUUUUAAUAAAAAAUAAGAUUGCAUAUUUUCAUAACUUUUCAUGGAUAUAAAAAAGGGAAGUGGUUAUAUAUGUAUCUUCAUUUGGUUUUGUUUUAUGUUUCCUUCUGGAAUACAAAUAUGAACCUGCCACCUAAUUUUUGUAAGCAAAUAAUAUGUUGAACAUCAUAAAACGACAUGCUGAUCACCUGGUUAAAUGAUGAAAUAAAGUGAUAACAUACCUCAUCCUCAUGUGUAGCAUUGGUCAAACGGAAGUUGAGGCCAUAUUGAUCAAGACUAUGCUUGCCUAAUUCUGUAUGUAUGUAGUUGAGCUUCGGAGUCAUGGAGUGACCAGAUGUGAAAGUCAUCAUUUGUGGGCAGCCAUAAAUCUUAACCUUUUCCAAUGCUUUCCACCUGAACUCAUUCGUCCCCAAGAAGAAACCCUUGAGAUCUGGUAAAUCUACAAGUGUAAGGGACUUGAGAUGUGGGAAGACUAUAAUAGAUUUAGAUUUUUCUGUGUGCUCUGUGUCUUCCUUCACAAUCACUUUCAUUGCCUUGCAUUGUUUUACAGUCAGUUCUUUGAGUUGCUUGAGGCUUUCAAGUGUGGAACUUGUGAUUAUAUAUUCCAAUACUUCACAUCUUUCUAUUUCCAAUAUCGUCAGGUUGGGCAAUUGAAGCAGAGUCAUAUUUGCAGACCUUGGGAUGGUGAUUGCAGUACAAGUAUCAUCACUUCCAUCACCAACAUUCGUAGUACUAUCAACACCAUCUUUGUUUAUUUCUUUACUUUCAAAUAUCUCCACCAUUGACUUACAUUCUACUAUUAUCAACUCUUCAAGCUUAUUCAGUUGUCCCACUACAUUGGAUGGAAACACUCUUGAUAGGGCAGGACACUCCACUAUAUCAAUCUUUUUGGAGUAUUGACAUAAGAACCAAGAAGCAACACCGACUUGAGAACACUACAACAACACAUGAAAAAUCAAUGGAUCUAUUUUAAUUAACAAAGCUUAGAUGUUUGCUACACACAUACACACUACAAUUUAACAUAUCAUUUGUUUCUAAAAGUGUGGUAACAAACACAAGUGCUUCCCACAACUAAGGUAAUUAAGUAACAAUGUGGACAAUGUAAGUUGAACUACAAAAGGGCAAUAUACAGAAAAAAUGGAUAAAAGGUCUAGGAAUAAAGAGAAACCAAAUCGUGGUGUUUGGACUCCUUGAGGAAGAAGGUUUGUCAAAUGACCAAAAUACCCUCGUUAUACAUAUAUGACAAAAUAAGUAAAAACAAGAAACUAAUCAGUUGUAUGCUAUGCUUAUAUUGUUGGCAGGAGAGAACAAGUAGAUGGUGGAUGAAAGAAAAGGCACACUAAAUCAAUCAUAAAAGUGGCCUUAAUUAUAUAGGCUUAGAAGAGAUUAUGACAACCUACAAAUAGGAAACUGACACAAGAAAAAUAAAACUGCUACGUGCUAAAUAACACAGCUAAUUAGCAUUUAUUCAAAUUAAAACUUGAAAAUGAAGAGACUUUGAAGUACUUUGAUUAGCAAUUAAUCAACAUAUAUUUCUCGUGCAGAAGCAAAGUGUAUGACACUGGAAGUGGACAUGGUGGUCAUGAUAUUGGUUAGUCUCAUCUUUGAAACUAAAAAAAAAGACAAUAAAUAUGAGAUAUAAACACAUGAAAGGAUGAUAUAAAGCAUAAAAUAAACAAAUAUUUCACCUGGAUUUAUAGCUAUGAAAUUUACUUAUCUGAACUGAAGAAGGUCUAAAUGAAAGAAAUAACAACGCAUUUCCAUUUAUUCGUUUAUUAUAACAUCCUACUUUCAUUUCUUUAUAUUGCAGUAACGGAAAUCCUUUGUAUUUGAAUGAAAUUGCAAUAAAUGGGUGAGUUACUUAAAUUACAAUGCUUUAAUAGGAAAAAAUGAAAGUAAGAUGCUCUUAUAAUCAUAUCAGUGAAAGUAAAAUGCUAUUUCUAUAAUUUUAGACUUUAAUAAAUGACCCAAGACUACCAUAUAGGUACUUUGAAAAUCCACCCAACUAUAGCAUUGUACUUUCGACUUUUCUUAUCAGGCCGUUGUAGCCACAUAUAAUUGGGUAUAUUUUUUCAAAGUAUGAUGCUAUAAUGGGAAGAAAUGAAAGUAGGAUGAUGUAAUAAGAAAAUAAAGGAAAGUAUGUUGAACAGAGAAAAUGACUAAAAAUAUAGUGGUUUUUCUGUAUAUGGUUUAUGAAGAGAAAACAAAUGUCAUUGGACUAUAUAACCCAUUACCCCCUCAAUGUGAGAAAAUGAAAAUAUAAUUGUACUUCUAAAUUUAUUUAUUAUUAGGAAAUGAGUUUGAAAUUAAUAUGCUUAUAUUUCCGUACCUGCAUUGAUUACAUGCAUCAUCUUCUUCAUGUUUUAAAUAAUUUUACUAACAUGAAGGGUUAAUUUAGGACACAGUGACAAAAGGAAGAAAAAUUUAAUAUGGAGAAUGUUAGCAUCUGAUCAGCCGUUAUCAAUAAUUAAUUUAUUCCAAGUCUUCCAUCAUGUGUGUGCUACAUCUAAACCCACAUAUUUUGGUCUAGAUAAUCUGAUCUUUAGAAAAGAAAGUUUAUAUUUUAGCAUUUGUGAAUAUAGAAUUCUCAAAAAAAGUUUAUAUUUUUGCAUUUGUGAAUAUAGAAUUAUUGAGAAGGCCAAAUCCAAGAAACAGAUAAUGACUCUUAUCAAUAUCAGUAUCUAUAGUGAAAAUAAAGGUGCGUUUAUUAUACAUCUAUGAUUGUUCAUUAGAUUGUAUAUUGCAAAAUCUAUCUUGAUUCUAAUAUUCAGAAUAGAAAGCAUUUUUAGAACAAUUUUUCUUUUCAAGGGAGUCAUUUUCAAUAUAGACUUGGGAAAUUAUACUAGAUAAAUGUAGAUCUUGAGACUUCCCAUAACUGACAAUCUUGUCCUUUGGCUCGAUGAUCGAUCACUGUCUUAAAUUUAAUACUUUUAAAAAAAAGUUGUAAACAGGAGUCUUUUGCCAUAUAUUGUAUUUAUAUAUUUUCAGUUGGAACACUAGAUAUACUUAGGUAAAGUUUGAUAUUUUUCAGUUCCAUGUCAGAAAAAAAAAGAUUUUUUUUUGAAAGAUUACAAAAAAAAAUAUUUCUUUUAAACAACAAAGUGAACUUUAUUAAGCUAAAAUUGCAAGCUAGGGAAAAAAAAAAAAAAAACAUGAAUAAAAUCAUUUUUGUUCCAGUUUUCAUAUUACUUAACAAUCAAGAGUAAUGUUGAUAUGACUUAUAUACAUUUAUCAAUCAAUUUUUUUCUCUCCCUCACAAUCCGGUCUAAAUCCAUCAUCUGUUUUAGUUAACUUAACUAAAACUGGAUAAAAAAAAUGCUUUUCAUAAGAUUUAUAACCAUGCUUAAGAGAAAGAACUCUAAUGACCUAUGCAAACGAAUAAACUGUAAAAAAAAUUAGGUAUUCAGUUAGUUAUUUUGUCUUUCCAGCUUCAGAAGAAUUAGCUUAUUGAGUUAUAUAAAGCAGCUAAUGGAGAAGAAAACAUUAAAAAUAAAUAAAUAAAUAAAUAAAACAAAUAACUGAAAUGAUACCUGGAACUGAUCAUGGAUGGAAGUAGUUGUGAUUGUAGUACUGCCAUCGAUGCUCUUUACGCUUGGCAGAGAACUGAGGAUGAGUUGAUCAAGAAGAGGGAAGGAGGAGAUGGUGUUUGUGUGAGUAGAAGAUAUUAUUUCUUCAUUUUCAUCAUUAAUAUCUCUUUUUGAAACAACUUCUUCAAUACCAGCACAACGUUCUAUCCAGACCUCCUUUAAGUUGGGAAGAAGUUUGCCCAUGACAGGUGAAAAUAAGUACUUUAUGCUUUUGCAAUUCCAUAUUUGUAUGGUUGUGAGGUUGUGGAAUGAGUAGGAUUGUGAUUGGUUUUGAGGAAUUACAAGUUUCUUCCAAUUGCACUUCCACACAUCACUCAUCCUCUCCAUAUCAUAUAAAUAUAAUUCCUUGAGGUGGGGAAGUAGUAGUGGUGGUGGUUGAUGAUUAUAUUUAUGCAGAGUUGUUGUGAAAUCUGUGCUGCUGCUGCUGUUGCUACUGGAACUCUCUAUCUCAAACACCACUUCAACAUCCUUACAGCCUCCAUUUAACCAAAGUGUUUGAAGGUGAUUAACGUGAAAAGGUUUGGGAUGAAUUGAGGAUUCAACGUCAGGAAUAUUACCAUCCACCACUGAAAUGAUCUCUGCCUUGGAUAUAACAUUAAUCUGCAAAUAUUCAACAACAAAUAUAAUUCAGAAUUUCCAUCAACUAAAUUUUUAAAUUAAGUAUUCAUAAAUGGCACACCUGUUUAAAUCUAUUUACAUAACUAAAGUUGACAGCGAUUAAAUUAGCGGAUUUUAAAUAAUUUCCAAUGAUAACUUAUUUGACACAUACAAUAAAUAUUCAAAAUACUCGCACUUACACAAAUAUGUAAAAAUAACUUUUUUAGACUAACGUACAAAAUUGGUUAUCUGGUUUUUUGGUUUACAUACAAAAAAAUCAUUUUGCAAAUUUGAUCCCUAUCACUCACACCGUUAACUUACAUCGGUUAAAACCUUAUAAAAUGACUAUUUUGCCCUUCUUUUAUUUUUUAUUAUUAAUUAUCAUGAAAAUUAUUCAUAGGUCGCACCACCCAUAUAUCGCCCCAAUGUCCCCCUCUUUCCCCUUUCACCAUAUUCCUCCAUUGCAAUCACUUUCCUCCAUUACCAUAUCAAUCUCAGGUGCAUUUUCAUCAUCAUCAAGCAUGGAAAAUGCAAGGCAUAGCAUAAAUUCAACAACCAUAUCUUGUCAUCUUCAACACAUUAUUCAGUGAGUUGAAAUCCAAAAUCAUCAUUUAAGAUGCAAGUAUCAUAAAACAUACACCCAAUAAAAUAGAAAAAAGGCAAUGCUUACAACAUAUUGUCACAAUCCAAAACCAGACAACAUGUUUCCAAAAGAAAUUAUACUUUUUGGGUAUCAGAUGGGUGAAAUCUUAAAUUUAAGUGAAAAAGUUGCAGGACAAGUGGGUGAUGAUGCAAGAACAUCCAAUUUCAGUUGAGAUUUACAAACAAUUGUUGUGAGAUAUCCUUUAAGACUUCAUAUAUGAGUAUAUGACCUAAUGAAGGAAACACAGAGGGGAGCUGAGAUGCUCACUUGGAGGGAGGACCAAGAUAAAGGGGACAAGAUUUUAAUAUUUACUCUUUUUUUUUUUUUUACCAUAAAUCAAUAAUUUUGAGUGAUCACUUAAUUGAUCUCUAGAAUAAAUAUGUAAAAUCUUCGCAUUUAAUGGAAAUAUAUAUAAAUAUUAAUUUUCAAUCCCUCUUAAUAAUGCGGUGUAAAUAUGUAAUAUUUGAAGUUACAAUUGUUAUAAAAUACUAAACAAAUGCUUAAGUAUAGUGAAAUAACAAAAAUAAGAAAAUAAGAAAAACUUGUUUAUAAAUAUGUAAAAGUGAUAAUAUAAAGGUUGAAAGACAUCAAUACUUAGCACUGUAGGAAAUCUAGCCUACUUCUCCACACUUAAAAAUGUAGUAUAUCUGUAAUUUGUCCAUGUUUUCAAAUGUGGAGUAUUAAAUUGUUUAUCCACAUUUUGAAGUGUAAAGGUUUAGAUACACGUACACAUAUAAGUGUGAGGGUAUAUAUAGAGGCACAUACAAAUAAGUGUUGUAACAUCACAUACCUCCCGGCUGUUCUGAACCAAUUCAAUGUUACUCCCGGUUUCUUCCCAAGGUCUCAUACCAUCUAUACUCACAUUCAUAAGUGUCCUCACAUCAGAAUUGGUGACGGUCGGUGUGAAUACGUUUACAAACCUCUCACAAUUGUAUAUUUGUAUACUUUCAACAGCUUGAAAGCUACGGAUGAGGAUAUCAGAGCUACUUUCACCUUUCAUCCUCCACAACUCUCUUAGCUUCCCCAAAUUAUGUACUUUAAUGAGUCUCAAGUUGCUACUGUACUCUUCAAUUUCACCAACACAACUCAUGUCGAUGUUAAAUAACAAUUCAAUGCUUCCACAAUUAGAAACAUCCAGCUUUUCCAGACGACCCAGCAAAGACAUGGGAUUGGUUGGAAACAGAUUCACAAGAUUAUCACAUUCCCUCACUCUAAUCUCUCUCAACAUGCAGGCAUUAACUUCGUCACUACUACUAAAUUGAUAAGGCCAUAUCUCUUUCAGCUUAUCCAUCCUCAAAAUCUCCAAUUUCUCCAGCAUAGGAAUCAACACCUGCGCAACAAUUAGGACAUGUUGAUCAUCAAUAACACCAUCUAAUGACAAUAUAUUGGGCAAUUAUAUUAAAAAUAUUUUGGUUAAGGAAUGUACCCCUUUGUUGAAGAAAGGUUGAAUUGCAGAGACAUUACUGGACAUAGAAGAUGUUGCAGAUGUUUUCUCAGGAUAAAUGCUACUGAAAUUAGGAAGGCCAUCAAGUUUCAACUCCACCAGCUGUGGUAGCUCAAUUACAUUAGCAGUGUUGCAAAGACCUAUCAACUCUGGUAGCAUCUUCAAUGAUAGAAACUUUAGCCCCUGAAACCUAAUUGCCCCAUCUCCACCAUUCUCACUAUGUGCAAGUACUUCCAGAACAGGGCACUGUGAAACUGUGAGGCGUUCAAGGUUCAUCAAACCAUUUGCAAUAGGGACUGUGAAGAGGAAUCUCAAGUUUGCACACUUGAAGACAUCAAGGACUCUUAGAUUAUUAAACGACUGUUGAUGAAAAUCAUCCAUACCAUCCACUUCUAGAUAAAGCACCUCUGUUUUCACAAACAACUCAUUCAAUCUAGAUUCCAAUAGCUCAUCUUUGUUAGUGACCAACAUCAACGUGUUUUCAAAUGAGUGCAUCUUUAAUCCAGGAUUGUCUCCUAAACCACAUCCCAUAGAGAUCCUGAACCUUUUGAGUUUAGUAAACAGCAUAUUCUCGGGUGUACCGUUGUCAAAGAACUCAACUUCUAAUGCAGAAAGGUGCUCUGAAAGUUUUGCUAAUUCAGCAUGAUUACUGUCUGUGAACCUAAUUGCCUUUUCAUCAGCAACUCUCAUAUAAAACUCUUCAAGAUUGACCAAAUCUUUCAAAACACCAUCAUCAAUACGAAGAUUGACACAGCCCGUCAAAUCCAGUAGCUUUAGCUUCUUCAACUUUCCGAUUGUGGAUGGUAACUUUCUGAUGCCACAAUAAGCAAAACUGAGCACUUCCAAAUUCAAGAGUUCACCAAUAACAGAGCAAUCAAGCAUCAAUGUGCAUCGAUGGAAGACGAGUGUCCGAAGCUUGGUGGAGCACUGAAGUGAUCUGGGGAGCAACGGAUACUGCAUUUUUUCGUACGCUAUAACUUCAAGAUUUUCCAUUCUUUCAUAAAAAUCUUCAGGAAACAUAAGCGACUUAUCUCCAUCCAUAAGUCUCAAAAGUGAUACGUUUGGGUACUUAGACUCACUAGAAAACUCAGACAUACCCGUGCAAGUAAUAGAAAUUCUGUUACAAGACUCACUGGUUCCAGCACUAGUCCACUUUGAAUUAUCACCAUGGUUGAUUAUCCAUGGAUGGUCACCCUUAGAAACUCUACCUACAACAAAAUCGAGCACAAGAUCAUGCAUUCUGACACACCCAUCAUCAUCGCAUUCCAUCAACAAAUUUGCUUUUUUGAGACUCUGCACACACGUCUCUGUCCUGUCUCUAGCCUCUCCCAAAGUAGAAACUCCAUUUAACAACCGUAGGCCCCAUGCAUGUCUUGUGAGUUCCUCGAUUGGAAUAUUAAAGUCAUCGGGAAACAAACCACAAAGAAGAAAGAUCUCUUUUUCCUCAUCCUCUUUUAUAUAGUCAUAGCUUAUCUUAACACUUUCUUGCACAUAAUCAAGAUUUUUAUUCUGAAAACGGCGGAGUGUAUCUCUCCAUGCAGCCUUUUCUUCAAACUUAAGACGACUGGCAACGAGAUUAAUGGCAAGGGGCAAACACCCACAUUCUCUCACAAUCUCUGUUCCAAUUUGAUUGAGCUCCCGAUCAUUUUGUUUUGCGACUCCUAUGAUUUUCCAAAAGAAAUUUUGUGCUUCUAGCUCCUCCAUGAGUUCCACUCUAACUACUUUCAAAUCAAAAUUACAUUUUUCUGCAAUUUGCUUGCAAGUAUUUUCCUUUCGUGAUGUCAGCAAUAACUUGAAGCUGUUGGGAAAAGGACUUAGUCCAAUAUCUUUGAGAUCGAUCGACUCCCAUACAUCAUCUAAUAUCACUAAAACCUUUUUGUUUUGUUUUACCAGCUCUGUAAAUGCUAUACCAAGACGUUCUGCCCUUCUUGUUGGAUCUGUUUCAGUUAGAGAUAGACUUACGCAUUCUGCCAAAGCUUGCUGAAUAGCAGACGCUUCUUUUUUCCCAAUAACCACCUUUAGAAACAAAUCAAACUUUUUCUCACCUUCCAGAUGCUUUUUCAGCUGUUCCAUCAUGGUCGUUUUUCCCACACCACCCAUUCCACAUAGGGCUAUCAUCUGAUUUUGUUGAAGGAACCCGAGCGCAUCCUUAAAAGGCUUCUCUCUUGAUUUGAAGUGAUUUUGGGCAUCACCAUCCGAAGAUGCGAUUUUAGAAUGCACUCUCCCAAGAGGUUUUUGAGCAUCACUCCAGCUCAUUUGAAGUUUUUCCGUAAUAAGACUUUCGAUCGCCUCAGUAGUCUUACAUGCCUUCCUUCCUGCUCGGUACCUCAUUAUUAUGUUAAAACAUCCACUCUCAGUACUUGAAAUGCUUUGAGCAUCUUUUCUAAUCUGUUCAACCUCUUCCAACCAACCCGGUACACGCUCAGGUAUCUCUAGAUUCUUUAUAUUGUUUGCGUCCCUGUGAUUUUUGACAUCAAUGCUUAUAACAUCCAGUUGGUUCAUUUUAGCACUCAUGUUCCUCACAUGUUUUGUGGAGGAAAAAAGAUAACCCAGAUUUUUCUUGACAGGAGGCAGCAAACAUUCAACAAUUGGACCAGCAAUGAUUUCAAGUAUAAACGCCAUUUUUUUUUGUUCUAGCUUUUUGUGAGACCUGCAAACCGUGUAACAAAUCAAUAAAGGGCAUGAAAUAACAAAAGUUGUGAUUUAGUAUACAUUUAUGCAUUCAUGUUUUAUUAUUAGUAUGUAGAAGUAGAACUAUCUUUUUUCCAAUAUCAUUUAUAAUCCAUAGAUAAAUAGUGUUCAAAAAAUUUAUUCUAAGACUUCGAUACCUUGCAUGGGAAGAGGAAUAGUACACAUAACACAUUUAGUAAGAAACUAAGAUCAGAUGUAGGAAAACUAAUGCUCGUGUAAAUUCAGACAAGUUAUUUAUUUUCUUGUGGAUAUUCCCUUUUGGACUUAAACUUUGCUUUCGUAAACAUAGUGGGAAUAGGUGUUGAUUUCAACAUAUCAUCAUGUGAAUAAUUACAUUACAUUUGAAAAUCUUACACAUAUCAUUGUACAGUCCAAACACAAACAUGCAUAGGUAACAAGGAAAAUGUGAUUCUCACAUACUUCGAUGAUGGAUUAUACUCUUGUGAGUCUAUCAAUUCUGUAAAAAACAAUCAAGAUGAAAUAGAAGACAAAACCUAACUACAAAGAUUUUGGGAAAUUUGAACCCUAUUGAGACUUUUAUAAGGAACUUGUUGUGGACAACUCUCCACAUGAGGAUAGAUUAAGAAAGCCUUGAAUGAGAAAAGAAAAGGCAUGCAUAAUCUUGUAUAAGAAAAAGAAAAACCCACAUCUGCAUUUGUGGAACCUGGAGUGUGGUUGGCAUUUUCAAAAAGUUCCCCUUUUUCACUCUCUCUGUACUUACGUCCAUUACCUUUCUAUCUCUCCACCAAAAAAAAAAAACUCUCAAACCCUUGGAGUUUCCCCUUACAGUGAGAAGGAGUAAUGCCGAAAAAAAAAGGUAGAAAAAAUUAAAGGACGGGUCCCAGUUUAAUCGAUGACCUCGAGACCAAGCUAGACAACACCAUCUCUCGUAAGCUUGUAGGUUGCCUCUGCCAUGAUUACGAUAGCAUUAUUCCAUACUUCAAUUAAAUGGGGGCAAAAGCACGUUGUGAAAUUGUUAGGUUUUACAGGCAACAGCUAAUCGAUCGAAGGCAUGAUAUGAAUCUUCUUGAAUUAUCAGCAUAUGGAAAGGGAUAAGAUGUGGAGGAUUUUUAUUCUUUCGCUGCCUCGUGUGUGGGACUUGUGAUCCGUUGACUCAAGGUCAAUGGUAUCUUCAAUCUUGUCUAAAACCCAUAUGGACUUUAUUUUACAUAAAUGGGCUGUCCAAUAAUCUUGGGCCUAGUUAUAAUCGUGAAAAUCACUUUUGAGUGUAAUUAGGUUACAUCUUAUUUGAUGUAUAGGUGCAAUACUAAAACGAGAAAAUGAAUUAGGAUGUUAAUUAUUUUAUUUGUUUUGUUUAUAAUUAGGCAAAAAAAAAUUAUAGGAUAAUCAAACUUUUAGAAAUGUUCAAAUGUUAUCAAUUGUAACUAAUAUUUAGUUUUGAUGAUUAGGAACUUUGUAAUAUAUCUUCUAAAACUAUAUAUUACUUUUAAAUUUAUUUUUACUAUAUUUUUCAAAUAUGGUUAUUAAUAAAUUCCAUUUUGUUAAAUCUUCUUAUAUAAGAAAUAGUUAUGAAUUUGAUAUGGAACAAAUAGCUACAAAAUUUGUUAUGGAAAAAUGAUUAUGAGAUUUGCUACCGAAAUAUAGCAAAUCUUCUCUAUCUUCUCUAUGAUUGUGCGACUCUCUUUUCUUCUCAAUUCGCACAAUGAUACAUGUUUCUAAUAUAGGUAUAUGUCAAAAUAAUAUGUUCGGAUAGAAAACUUAGCAAGUCAUACAAAGGUUAAACAUCAUAAAAUUAAUAUAAAAAGCAUCAUAAAUAUAUUAAACAUAUCACCAUUUUCCGUUGUCAACCAUAUAGAGAACAACAUUUAUACUUAUACAUCUUUAUAGAGAAAAAAAAUUCAUACCCCAUCCGUCCUAUAUUUAUAGUCAAUGUUUUCUUUUUGAUUUGUACCAAAAUAAUAGCUUAUUUCUAAAAAUAAAUAUUCAUUUUACCAAAAUACUCUUCGUUAUUAAUUAAACAGCAAGAAAAUUAAAUACGACUACCAUGAAAUUAAAUGCAAAAAAAGAUAAGACUAUCAUUUUAUUUAACAAAGUUGUUUGUCGAUUAAUGUUUUCUUAAUCUAUGUGUCUUUUUUUUUGCGGGCAAUAAUACGUCUGAGGUCUUAAAAAUUGACUAGGGACUGAACUAGUCGUACACUGGUCGGUCCCAACCUGGUCUAGACCGUCGGUCCUCAUGCAGUCCCAAUUUUCACUAAAAUGUCGGAGCCAGCACCUGAACAGUCUCGGGUCGAACCGCUCUUGGUUCCAGAUCGGUCUUAAACAUCGGAAAGUCAAUCAUGAGUUUUCACUAAAAUAUAAGCAAGAUUCUCUGUCUAUAUUCUUUUCAUGGUAUUAGAGCCAUGAAGAGCUUGUUGGUUUUUAGGAUUUUAGCCAAUAAGGAAAGCCCAAUCUGUUUGGCCCACAUAUAUAUAACUAUUUCCUUGAAAACAACACAUCCAUUAUGUUCCCGGGUUAAAUUCUAAUUGGAUAUUUGUGCAACAAUUAUUUGGCAAUUGCAACUGUUUUGUUCAUUUAACUCCUAACUUUUAUGCUAUAUUAGAUCGCAAUUCAAAGAAGCUGACUGGUGCAGCUGAAAGAAAAAAGGGGAUAUAACAAAUUCUCUCGAUCUUUGGCAUAAACCCUCUAAGCCAUCCCACAUGAAGAAAGUCUUAAUGAUAGAGAUACUAUGUUAACUACAAAUUGUGAAGUGUUUCACUGUGCUAAACAGUGUCAGAAAAAUUUGCAUUACCCAAACAGAUAUGAGAUCUAAUGGUAACCCAUAGGUCUCAGUUUAUACUUUUUCACUUUGUUUCUUUGCAGUGAUUGAAAGUGGGAAUAAAUAGUUGAUUCAACAUCUUUCUCAUAAUGUGAACAAUUGAAUAUCAGUUGAAAAUCUUUCAUAUCCGGUAGUUUAGUUCAAAAAACCCACUCAAACUGAGAGAUUCAUCUAAUAUUUGAAAAAUCAAAAUGAUUGAAAAUGAGAUCUGACACUCCUGUACCUAGCUGGAAACAGAGUCCUACACUCAUAAAAUUACGGGCGAUUUAUUAGGGCUGAUACUGAUCUCUAGUAUGAAGCAUAUAUCAUAAGAAAAUCACUACUUCAUAAACAUUAGUCAAUAAUCAAACCAGAGAAAAUAAAUGAAUAGGCGUUUUCAGCUUAUUUAACAUUUCAGUUGAUUUUAUCUGUAGAAGAUACACAGAAUGCACAAGGACCACAACGAGUAGCAAACUAAACUUGAUUCCAGAUAUCUAGUCAAGGAUCGAUAUAUUUGAAACAGGAAACAACAAAUUCAAGUAAUAGAUUGGUAUUCAUAGAGAAUCUUUUUUAACAAACUCGUACCUGGCUCUGUUCUAUGAGACUGUGCGUAUGCUUGCAAUGUUGCUGCUGGUGCUACUUUGCAAAAAUUCUAAUGGUGUAGAAGAAGACCACUGAUUGAACAGCUAUAUAUUACACUGCCUCAAUUAUUUGGGUGAGUGGGGGACAUAAUUUUCCAUUUGUGCUUAAAAGUUGGAUAUUGGAUAACCUUAUCCUAACACACGUAAAUGUAAUAAUUUUUUAUAUAUUGUAAUAAUCCUUCAAAUAUGUUAAUAUUUGGAAAUUAGUUGUCUGAUUUUAUAAAUCAGCACUAAAACUAUUUUUUCUUAACAUGAUAUGAUAUGGUAGGUAAUUGGGCUAGAAAUGGAUUAUUUUAAAAUUACAUAAAACUAAAAAAAAUUACAACUGAGAAAAUUAUCAUAAUAGUUUUUUUUUAAGGUUUUAUCACAAAAUAGCUACAAAACUGCAAAAUGGCCAAAACACGAAGAAAAAAAAAACUUCACAAGCCCACAUCUACAAAAAGAUGUUUAGCCUGCGAAUUUUUUUUUUUUUUUUUUAAUAUCAAAACAACGUCGUUGACUAUGAAAAUAUGAUUGUUGAUUGCGAAAAAUGAGUUAAAUUAUGAUUUUUUUUUACAAAAAAAAAUGCGAUGUUUUUUUCACAUUAACUACGACAUUCAAGCAAUGGCGGAUCCUUUAUAUGGCUAGGGGGGCCAUGGCCCCCUUAUGUUUUUUUACCUCCUUAAUACUAUAUUAUAUAUAAAUAAAAGUUUGGUUUUAUUUGUUGACUAAGGAUUUGGCCCCAGGUUAAUGAUAAACACAUGGCUGCACCAUUUUUAAAAGAAUUAGCUAGAUUAUUAUAAAGCUUUGCUAUUUUUAGUGUGAUCUAGGCCCAUAUUUAUUUAGAGAAAAAAAUGUAGUUUUUAGAAAAAUUAAGUUAGUGAAACGAUAUGCUAAUGUCAAUAAUAUAUGAUAUCUAAUUUUGUAAAGGUAAUUUUAGUAUAGUUAGAAUAAUUAGUUAUAUUUAAAUAUAAUUAUUAAAUUGUUAUUCUCUAUUAUUAUUUUGUUAAAGCAAAUCUGAUGUAGAUUGAACUACAGUAAUAGAUAAUUUGUCAAGUGUAUUGUCAAACACUUUUGUAAACUUGUAAUACUUUACGUGUAUCGAACGUGAGAUGCUCGAUUUUUGAAGAAGACAGUCUUUAUUAAUCAAAAAUAGAACAACCACAUUACAAAUAAAGGUGCAAAUAUUUAAAGACUCUUAAACGUAAACCUAAUAGAAGUCUAAGACUUUUGAAACAAGGAAACAAACAAAUAAAUAAGGAAAGAAAAAGACUCAACAUUAAAGAAACUAAUUAUCCAAUUACUUGGACUCUACCCUUUCUUUUCGUUGUUGUGGUCCAGAUGGACCAUAGCCACCUCAUCAAAAUCAUAUUACAUAGUCAACAUCAAAAUGAUAAAAAAAUCAACAAUCGUUUCGCCCCCUCCGGUUAAGGGAUCCGUGUUCCGCCCCUGCAUUCAAGGAAUGUACUGUGAAAAUCAAAAUCUUGCAAAACCUCGUAGGACGUUAUCUUAUAAGAGAUUGUUUUGUAAAAUAUUAUCAUAACCAAUUNAGUUGUUUAUUUUUUUUGCGAAUUUUUGUUUGGUGUUGUACUUGAUUGUAGGAAGAAAUAUAAUUACACAAAUGGACAAAUACGGAAACCUCAGGCGUGGAGGAUCAAGUCGGUUAUCAACAAAUAUGUGACAAACAUAUAAUAAUUUUAAUGUAUUUUCAUGAUUUUAUACAGGUUUUGAUGUAUGUGGUAUACCUCCAUGCCAUCUUGAAUAUUUUAUUUACACAGAGUGAAUGAGAGAUAUGGAUCAUAUAAAUUUGUUUCAUCUACCACUUCUUCCUUUUCCCAUAUAAAUUUUAUAAUUCAUAUAUAAGUCCAUGUCUUGGGAAUUCCUUUGUUUUUCAUUUGUUAUAUGGAAUGUGCAAUAGUUGAUUUUCUUAAUUCGUCAUAGUAUUGUAGGGCAACCUAAAACAUCUUAAUGUAAUACUCCCUCCGGCCCAAUUUAAAUGUCCAGGUUACUAUUUUAGGUUGUCCCAAAAUAAAUGUCCACUACUAAAAAUAGAUGAACAAUUUACCAAAUUACCCUUAUGAAUAGAUGAACAGGUUACUAUUUUAGUUAACCAACAUGUUUUUAUUAAUGUGUUAUAUGAAAAGUAAAUUAUGAAAAAAGGGGGUCAUCGAGAGAAUCUGGAAACAAGUAUGUACAAUUGAAAAGAUAAACAAAAUAACUCUACUCAACUAAAAAUCCAAUCCUAUGAAUUUAAUGUGUAGUGACAGUAAAUCAUAAUCACAGAAACAAAACAUCUCAUUCAUUUUCAUUUAAAAAAAAAUCAAAAUACAAAUGUUUCCUUCCAAAUUGGGUGAUGUGCAACAUAUUUUUAUUUUUUCAAAUACAAUAUAGCAUUGUCUAAUAAAUUUUGAUCACAUUCAAUUUGUAAUGGAAAAUUACCUUCUGGUUCUAACCAGCAUUUACCAACAUGUGGCACAUGAUAGUUGUUGCCACCUUGUACUUUUAUGAUUUCUUUCAUGCAUGUUUGUGGAAUUAAAAAAAACCUUGUUAAGUUGUUGUGAUGACAUUCUUUCAAAAGACGUUUGAUCCGCAUCAUCCAAUUCAUCAAUUGUAUGCAAAACCUCUUGUUCUUGAAGUGAUCGUCUUGCUCGAAAGAAUAACCAAGGUCUAACACAUUCUAAUUCGGGCUAUUAGGGGGCUGAAAACAAAGUCGAAUAUCAUAUCCAUGUCGAGAUGCCGCUUCAAGAAACUUGCUAUCGUUGACAUCAAUAUGAGGCUUUGUGUUAUCUUGUUGAAUAAAUAUUAGACCGAUAUGACCUUGCGGCCAUUUGGAUUUGAUAUCCCGUAGAACCUUUUCUAUCAACCAUGACCUUGUUACUUCUUUGUUCACCGAUAAAAUAGGUUUCGUAUCCAAUGUUCCCAUAAUACGGUUUUUUCUUGAACGCUUAGUAGGUUCUAAUGUUGUAAACGGGUAGAUACCAAUUUUUCCUGAAUAUACUUUGUUACCUAAUGAAUCAAAUCUUGGUCUUGCUACAGCUGCUAGAAACAUAGCUUUUGUGAUAAACUUUUUGGCUUUACAUGUUUGCAACGGUUUAUCCUCACCGGGGACAAGGUAGUGACGUUUUGGUGGUUUUGAUAUGUAAAACUACUUUUCAUCAAUAUGAAAAACAUUAAACAUAUCAUAGAAUGUAGAAAUCAGACUUAAUAAUGAUUGUGUAGUAAUCUUUGAUUAGCAAAAUUCUAACCUUUCUCUUCUAUUAUCAUGAGUUAGAGUCGAAUUGAUGGAAUUUGUAUGUGGUCGAAGUACACAUUCCUUGAUACGUCUAUGCAUCGUUGAUUUCGAGAUAUUUACAAAUUUCACAAGAGAUCGUAUAUUGGCUUGACGGCAUAAUGGAAUUUUUGAAACUUGAUUCAAGUUUAUUUGUACCCUUUUCCACCCAACAAAAUUUGGUUUAUUUGAAGAUAAAUCAACCAAUAAUCCUUCGACAUUAGCUUGAGUUCUUUCGAGAGUUGUUAUUGGUUCCACCACUACCAUUCCGCAUGAAGGGGGGUAUUAAGCACAUGUAAAGUCUAGAAGCUACGGUACAUACGAAAAGUAUAUGGUAUAGUUUUUACCCUUACUUGUACUUACUUCUUGAGAGUUGUAAGUGUAAAUGUUUUAAGUAUCUAUAGACAUCCUGUAACAUUCGAAUCCAGGUAUUUCCUUUUUUAAGUCCCUAUUAUAAAUCAAAUUGGAAAAGAAGGCCCUUUGUAUGUUGGGCAUAUGUAUAUGUACGCUUAGCAUACAUGGGCGUAUUGAUCGAGUAGCGGAGCCACAUACGCAGUGCGUACGAAGCAUACACGGGGCGUACGUGGCUAAAAGGCAAAAACCCUAAUUUACGGACAUGAGCCCUAUUUAAGCUCACUUAUGACCUUUGUACCUCACUCUUAUCAGCCUUCACUCCUUUAAACGUCCCUAAAAACCCUAUUUUCCCAUUAGGAGUGAUCUUUAAGCAUUGGGGUAACUUUGGUGGCCUUUUUAUUGUGUUUGCAAGAAGAAUAAGUUGGUGUUCAUGCUUUGGGCAUGGGUGAUCUUCAAGAUCCUAAAUCUACAUCAUCUUGGGGAGCUUUUGAAGGUAAAAAGCCCUUACCUUGUUGAUCCUUUACAUAGGUAGAGUAAGUAUUUGCUUAUAAGUUCAAUUUUAUCCAUGGAUUCCCUUUUGUGAGUUAAUUUGGGCAACUCCAGAAGCUUGAAAUGCUAGAUCGUAGUUCCUUUGGUGUGUUAAAGGCAUAAAAUGCUAUCUUGGUGGUCAUUGUGACACCAUGCAUGGAAGUAGGUUCUUAAAUUGGGUCUUAAUGGACAAAAUUGGAUGUUGGACUCCCAUAAGACAUGCAAAGGCAUAAAGUUGCCAAAUUUAUGCCCUAGAACCCCUUAAAUGAUGAAGAAGUGUGUGUGUUUGUGUGUGUGUGGAGAGAGAGAGAGAGAGACAGAAAGAGGAGGGGGAGAGAGAGAGAGAGAGAGAUGUGAGGAGUAUUGAGAUAGACGAUUUCAUAAUAUAAAUUAGUUAAUAUAAUAAUUUGGAUAUUAUAUUUUUAAUGACUAAUAUGCCCUUGUGAUCAUUUCUAAAAAGUCUAAGAUACCAUUUAAAUUGUUGAUAGAUACAGAUCUUCCAUCUUUCAUCUAGACCAUGAAAAUUUUUGAUCUAACGUUCCACUUUUAGUUCUUGGGAAACUAUAGGUUCUCAAAUGAUCCUCUCUCUCUCUCUCUCUCUCUCUCUAUAUAUAUAUAUAUAUGUUCCUAUUUAUUUUUUAAUACUUAUUAAAUAUUGAAAAAAGGAAUAAUGGUAUUAUAGUCUUUUCAAAUUGGAAAGAUACCUUUUCCACACACAAACAUGGUAAAAAGGACCAGCAAUCUUGUAACAUUCGAACCUUGUAAGUUUCCAUUUUAAACCUUCCUAAACAAAACAUUUCAAUUUGGUCCUUUUGGCUAGUAUGCGGGGCGUACUCUAUGAGUACGCUCGGCGUACUAGGCUGAAGUCUGAUCCCGGGCAUCGACCACAUACAUUGGGCAUGUGUGGAUUACAUUGGGAGUACGUUGGCUAGGGGAAAACCCUAAUUUUUAGGGGUUUUGACUUAUUUAAGCGUCAUUAACCCACCUCUUAGAUAUGUCUUACCAGCCUCCAUAUCCUCAAACCCCAACUUCGUCCCUUAGCCUUUGUGUGGUGCCUUUGAGCUCUUAUGAAGCAUUUUUUGUGUGUUUUCGCAUCCUGAAGAGGACGGAGAAGAUUGAAGACUCAUCCUUUGGAGAAGAUUUUUGAGAUCCAAAUUUAGCUUCUUCAUUUUGUGGCUUUAGAGGUAUAAUGUCCAUAACUUGUCAAUUCAUUUCAUAAAUCUACUAUUUGGCUUGUUUAUGGUCAUUUUGGUCCCUUUUGGUUGGUCCUUGUGAGGUAAGGCCUUUUCUGGAAUUUAACGUUGUAGAUCUGGACAUAUUAGGGGUUCCUUAACCAUAAAGAUGCAAUCUUUAUGGUUUUAUGGACUCAUGCAUGUGUUAAGUCAUUUGUUAAGCUAUUUUGAGCUCUAGAGCCCCCAUUAAGCCAUGUAUACACGUAAUGUUGCCAACUUUACAUGAUAAAUCAUCUUUUAGGACUAGAUAUGAGAGUAUGGAGUAGGGGCUAAAUGGAUUAAGUGCUUAUUUGAUGGGGUUGACCAACUGGUGAGUACGUUGGGUGUACCAAGCUAGUACGUUACACGUACUUUCCCAAGGACGUAUACGUUGAGCGUACGAGCUAAGUACAUCUCAUGUACUUAGCAGAUGGGCUUCGGAAGUUUGGGUUUCUCAUCUUUGGGCCAUGUUUGGACUUUAGGUGAAUAAGGCCUUGUUAGGCCAUCAAUUUUUAUUUUGGGCUGAUGCUUUUAUUUUGGGUUCACUAGGAUGAAGGUCCACGAAGGGACUUGGGCCUAAUUUGGAAAAUUGAGCCAUAAUCAGGCUCUUGUGAUUGUGAUUUGGAUGGGUUCCUUUUGUAUGGGGGUUAAGCAAGUAUAAGGUUUCAUAAUUUUAGUGGUGGUAUGUCGGUUCGGUAGUUAAAGGAAGCAGUGUAUUGUUCAGCCCUGGAAGGUUCAUCUCUUUGUUCAUCUCGCGUUGCUCAUUAUGUUCAUGGAAUUGUUAUCAUUAUGAUGAGUCUCUCUCGAAGGAAUAUCUAAUCACUUUAGUCAAAUGAAAGGUUGUCGAUGUCAACAUAUGAUCUAUGAUUUUGUUUUCUAGCGGGAACCUCAAGUAAUCAGAAAUUGAGUACUCAGUUUGGGAGAUAAGUGGAAUGGAAUUAGAAACAGUUCAGUGCAGGCGGUCUGUUAGGGAGUCAGACCAAUUCGAGACUUCAGAUUUCAGGUUGAGUAGAUGUGGCUUUUCUACAUGGGAUUGUUUUAGGAUGGGAUUAUAUGGAAUGAUUUCAAGGAUGAAACCUAAUUUAAGUAGGGGGGAGUUUUAACGCCCUGUCCCCAGUCGUUUACCAUGUGGGUGUGGGGGACAAAAUUUAGAUGAUCCGGGUGUUCAGUUUGUGUUUUGGAGCCAAGGGGUAUUUUGGUAAAGUGUCAGAUCAAGAUUUUAUGGAAAUUGGAUUUUGUUCGGGAAAUAUUAAGCCGCGUAUGAGUUGAUAAAAGCGUAAAGCUUCUCUUUACCUUUUUAUGGAUAUGAGGAUCGUCGAAAUCGGAUUUAUAACAAAGAAGUUAUGGCCUUCAAAGUAUUUUAGGGUUUAAGGGAUACCCUAGUACGCGGGGCAUACAUAGGGAGUACAUGGGGCAUACUAGUGCAAAGUGAAGUACGUUGGGCAUACACUGGUGUAUGAUAAGCGUACCAAGGAGGAAUGAUCAUGAAGCCUUGGCCUCUUACAUUGGGCGUACAAAGGAGUACGCUGGGCAUACGAGGAGUACAUGGAACCCUAAUUUUGAGUGUGUUGUACGCUAUUUAAGUACCUUAAGUCUUAGGGUUGGCCUCUUUACCAGCCCCCAAACCUCCUAAAACCCUUAAUCGACCCUUAAAUAUUCUUUCUGCUGUUCUUGAGCUCUUGAGAAUAUUUUGUUGGUCAUUUUUCCCAUUGUGACGGAAGUAAAGAAGAUUGAAUAUGCUUUUCUUGGUGAGGAGCCUAUAGAUCCAGAAUCAUCACCCUUUUUGCAAGCCUUUAGAGGUAUCAAGUUCAUACCUUCGCUUGUAAAUGCUUAGAUCUCUUUUUAAUUGAUUGGUUAUGUUUUUGAUCCUUUUUUGGGUUGUUUAUUGAGUUAAGACAUUUGAAGGACUUAUUCCUUUAGAUCUGAGCUUAUUGGGAGUUCCUUAAGCAUAAAGGUGCCAACUUUAUGGGGUAUUGGGUCUCAUGCAUGCAUUAAGUCACAUAUUAAGUCCUUUUUAAGCUUAAGAGCUUCAUUUAUCCAUGCAUGAAUGUAAAGUUAGUAACUUUACGUGAUAAAUCAAUCCAAGGAAGUCAGAUCUAGGUUGUGGAGCCGAUUCUUUAUGUAAUAAGAGCUUAAUAUGGAAGUUGGUUAUACACGAGGGUACGUUAGGCGUACAAGAAGGUACGCUUAGUGAUAUUGUCAUAUUUAUACACAUUUUAGGCAAUAACUGAAUACAAUUUUAUACAUAUUUUGGUUAUUUGCAAAGAUAAAUGGUACUUAUAAGAUCGAAUUGUAUUUUGCAGCCAAAAGGAACAUUCUUGAAGGAAAAGGACCAAAAGCGACAAGAUUGGAACUUUGGGGGAUUGGAGCUUAAAAGAUGAAUAUUUCAGAUAAAAGUCAACCUCACGAUGUGAGGAAUUAACUCUCACGACAUCAGUCAUAACAUUUUAGAAGAUAAACAUUUAGAGGACAUAAUACAUGUUCGAUACGGAUUACAACUGAGCUCACGGCGUGAGCUUCUAUAUCUCACAACGUGAGCAGGGUAAUUACCAAAAUCUAUAUAUAUCCUUGGCACUUACAAAUGAAGGACUUCUUCUGGAGAUUUGGAGGUUUUAGAGAGAGAAUUCUGGAGAAAAUAAGCCAGAGGAUUCAAGUGUUAAGCAUCCAAGGAAGAAGAAUUGAUUGAAGAUCAUAAUCUUUACUUAGUUUGGUACAUUCAACUAUGUUUUUAUUUAUUGAAUUUAUGUGGGUGAUUUCAACCAUGAGUAGCUGAAUUUAGCUGCUUCUAUUUAGCUAAAUGAAGCCUCAACUUAUGGAUUAGCUAAAUUGAAUUAUGGAUUUUUAGUAGUUGGUUAUGUUCUUGUGUUAGAUUGUGAAUACCUAGCAUGCUAAUAUUUGAUGCUUUAUUUGCUUGAAUUCAUGUUCUGUGUAGCUUAGUAACUAUUAAAUUACAUGAACUUGACACCUAGUAAUUUAGUGAGCAUUGAAUUACUAGAGCUAGGAUCGAACCAAUCUUAGAUAAGUAAUUAAAGUAACUGAAUUUAGCUGUGUUGGAGAACAUGAAUUAUGACCAAAAUUGUCUUUAAUAAAUAAAUCUUACAUAGCCUCAUUCAUAAUGCAUAGUUGAUUUUGUGUUUGAUUGUGUGUGACCACACAUAGUUUUACAUGAAUUAGUUAAAUAUUAGUAAAUUUGGACUUAAAUUACUAAUAAUACAAAAUUUGGUAACCAACUAUAAUAAUCCAUAAUUGUUAGCUAACCAUAAAGGAGAAGUGGAUUUGAACUAAACGGAAGUGUUUUAAAUAUUUGAUUAAAUAGUUAUUGAGUGAUAAAGUUUGUCUGAGCAAAAUCAGAUAAAAAACAACUUUUGCUUAGAAAUUUAGGUCAGUUUAGUAGUAAUUAGGUUAAUUAAUUAUAUAUGUUCCCUGUGUUCGAUAUCCGAUUGUUUGUGUUAAACUAUAUGUGAAAAUGUCCACUGCCUUUAGUCGAAUAACUAGUUAGAUAGUUGGUAUUUGGUAAAAUUAGGUGUAGUAAUAUUUUGACAUCACUUAGUGUAUAAGCCCUAAGGCAAGUACAUUGCGCGUACUCAAGAGUAGGCCUCAGAACUUUUGGUCUAUGUUUGGGCCAUAGUUUGGGCUUAGAUGUUCAGGGCCUUGUUGGGCCAUCAAAACUUAAGUGUUUUGGACUAAGAAUGUUGUUGAACCUUGGAUUAAAGCUUAUGGAAGGGUUUGGUCCCAAUUUCGAAAAUUAGGCCAUGUUUAGGCCUUGUAUGAUUAUUUGGUAUUUGGGCGUUUUAGAUUAUUAGGUUUGGGAUUAAGUCUUGGUCCAAACUAGGUACGGGGUAAAUUGGUCAUUUACCCUAAUUAUGGUCUGAUGGUUAUGGAUUGGAAUCCAAUUGUUAAUUCAAUGUUAUUUGAUAUUGAUAGUUCGGGGAUUUGUCGUACCAUUAGCCAGGAAGUUAUCGGUGUGGUUCAGUAGUGUGAGGUGAGUCUUCUCACCAUAUCCAUGGGUCGAAGGCACUAAUGUCGACCCAUUAGUUGUAUGGUAGACCCCGGGGUAGCCCAUGGAUAGUUAUGAGAGAGAGAGAGAGAGCGAGACAAUGUGGUGGGUUGCGGUGGGUGUGGGCCCUUUUCUUAUUUUUAAAUAACCAAAAUAACUAAUAAAUGGAAAAACUAAAUCAAAUAGGUAAGAAGUCUUUUCAAGUUUAUGACCAAAUCGACAAUGAAAGUAAGCCUGUUUGUACAGUACCAAAAGAAAAUGAAAAAUCCUUUUUUGCAAUUAUCUAUAAAGAUAAUAACGAAAGGUACGUAGUUUUGGCAUUUUAUAUAUUUACCUUCCAAUUCCUUUUAUAAAUUUGCAAACCAACACAAUUUUUUCUUCUCUUAUUCUCAUCCCAUUACUUGUCAACCAAACACAUGUAAACUUAAAAUUCCUUCAUAUUCUAAUCGUGAUCAAAAUUCCUUUCUAAACAUUUCGCAAACCAAAUGUGCCCUUAGAAGUCACGAUCAAUUCACAUUUUGACAAGGGGAGCAAUAUUCAUCUGAAUUGAAGCCAAAAGAAGUUUGUUAAAGGGUGUUUGUAUAUCCAUUGAAAAUGACUAGUCGACUUGACAUAAAUAACCAUUUUUAAGAGUUCAACAAUAACUCAUUUUGAUUAUAAGAACCAAAUCGUGGAUGUAGGUAACGAAUUGCAUUAAACUAAUUAUUGAGAUUAAAGUAAAUUACAUUACUAACUCCCCAAAAAAUCUCAAGCAAAUUAUACAAAUUGAAGGCCCCAAAAAUCAAGGUAAGCUACUUGCUAGUAGCCUAGCUGCAAACUUAUUUCUAGAUUAAGUGUACUUGUAACAUCCCAAACUACCUUCCACAUCUAUCCGUACUUUCCUCAAGAACUGCCUCGACUCCACCAAGUCCCUUCUACUACUACUGUUGAUCUCAUGCUAAUCUCAUCCUAGGCUUGCCCUAGGUAAUCGCCAUCCCACUCUCUACCAUCAGCUGUACAAGAAGUUCCUGCUUUCUUCCCCUAACUAGCUCGCGGAUACUAUUACAUAUUACUCAAACUAGAUAAUUCUUCAAAUGAGAGGUCAUACCCUACAACGGUUGGACUCAGACAAGAGCUGCGAAAUUGGGCUAGACCAACCUUCUGGAAUUAUUUAGUCCUUGCAAUAUCUAACUUAGCAUAUUCGUUUACUAGUUAGUGAAAGACAACUAGAACUCCUAAAAGCACAUAGCAAGCAACAUUCGGGCAUUGAGUACACAUAAUCAAGUAUAUACUACUCUGGCUAUCAUACUGACUGAUCUGUACUAGCAUACAAUGCUAAUCUCAUACUAUCAGGCAUAACUUAAACAUGUUAUCCCACUACUGUCUACUCAAUACUAGCAUGCAAUUCUUAUAAAUCUGAAGCACAUAAAGUAGGCACAUAAGGCAUCAUUCCUAGAUCCUUAGUCCUAUUCUAGCAUGCUGUUCUACUGAAACUGAAACUAAUAAUCAUAACAUAACUUGUAUGGGUACUUUGGGGAAAACUUACUUGAGCUCGGCUGGUCGCGCGCAUCACACAUUUUCUCAAAACUCUUUUACUUAUCCUUUAGAAAUUCAUUUCUUUAUAAAAAUCUUUUAAUCCCUCGAUUUGAGUCCAGACAUCCCCCCGAAGGUGUGUCCGAAUCCCUCAAACCAGGGCUCUGAUACCAACUUGUAACAUCCCAAAAAUACAGGCCAAAAAUUUCAUUUUUAAAUCAAUGCUUUGGAAAAACAUUUGUGAAUAAACAUCGCCUGAUCAUAUCAUUUCAUAAACAUAUUUCAUGUCUGAAAUCCAACAUAUAAAAACAACCAUAAUGUCAGAGUACAAAAUCCCAGAAUAACUCAUGAUGCGGAAAACAAUGUGUGUGUAAGAUGUGCCGCUACCGCACCAGCUCCUUCCCCUUCGAUGAAGAGGUACCUGAAAAUAAAACUGUAAACUGUAAGCACAAAGCUUAGUGAGUUCCCCCAUCGUCCACAUACCAUACAAUAAUAUAGCAUACAUUUUGCCAGGCAUUUCUGGGGUGCCCAACCUACCCGGUACGGCCAUUCUGGGGUGCCGACCUACCCGUACGGCCAUUCUGGGGUGCCGAUAUACCCAUGCGGCCAUUCUNNNNNNNNNNNNNNNNNNNNNNNNNNNNNNNNNNNNNNNNNNNNNNNNNNNNNNNNNNNNNNNNNNNNNNNNNNNNNNNNNNNNNNNNNNNNNNNNNNNNNNNNNNNNNNNNNNNNNNNNNNNNNNNNNNNNNNNNNNNNNNNNNNNNNNNNNNNNNNNNNNNNNNNNNNNNNNNNNNNNNNNNNNNNNNNNNNNNNNNNNNNNNNNNNNNNNNNNNNNNNNNNNNNNNNNNNNNNNNNNNNNNNNNNNNNNNNNNNNNNNNNNNNNNNNNNNNNNNNNNNNNNNNNNNNNNNNNNNNNNNNNNNNNNNNNNNNNNNNNNNNNNNNNNNNNNNNNNNNNNNNNNNNNNNNNNNNNNNNNNNNNNNNNNNNNNNNNNNNNNNNNNNNNNNNNNNNNNNNNNNNNNNNNNNNNNNNNNNNNNNNNNNCAUACAACUCCUACUGGUGGGCCGGCAUUGUGGCCGUAGACCCACCGCUACUGGAAGGUAACUCACCUCGUAGUAACUGCUGAUCUGUGCGGGAACUCUCUGUCUGCUGCUGCUGCUGCUCCGGAAAUCCUCCGUCUAUAAAUCCCACAAAACACCCUAUCAGAGUCUGAUAUCUACUCUUUGGGUAAAAUGACCAUUUUACCCCUGAUCAAGUCAAGUCAAAGUCAAAGUCAACUUUCAGUUGACCUGACUCGCCGAGUUGGGCCUCCAACUCGUCGAGUCCCUAACCAAUCGAUUGUCCUUACUCCCGUCCCUACUCGUCGAGUAUGGCAUUGACUCGACGAGUUCUCCUUCUAUUCAAAUGUCCAAUGAUCCUUCAUCCGACUCGCCGAGUUGUAUGAACAACUCGUCGAGUUCAUCUUAUCCGAUGAACACUCUAGUCUGGACUCGCCGAGUUGUAUGAACAACUCGUCGAGUCUGUUCUUGAGGCAAGAAGAUUGCAUUGGACUUGCCGAGUCAGGGCAUUGACUCGCUGAGAACCUGCAUUGCUGAGUCUGGCUUCCGAUUCACUGAGUCCACUUAUAACUCACUGAUCCCACUCGGCAUAACUCAAAAGGGGAAAAUCGGGGACUCGUGACUCGACUCGCCGAGUCCGAAGAACGACUUGCCGAGUCGUAUACAUGUAAUCACUAUAUACUCGAUUCUGCUUGAAUCCAGUUCAUUCCAUUCAUAGAUCUAGGUUCUUAGGGUUCGUUUAACACGUAAAGUUUCGCACUUUACGUGUAUAUAAGCAUCAAUGAAGGUUAAAAGGCUCAAAAUGCACUAAAAGAGUAGAUCUAGGGCUUUUCAUGCAAUAUGGCUCCAUAAAGGUAUUAGAUCUGAGCUCCUAGAGCUCAAUCAUGCCUAGAUUUGAAGUCCCUUAACAUUAUAAGCUUAUUACACAAAGAUCAAGACUCAAAGAGGCCUCAAAGUGACUAUUUUAAGCUCUUAAUGAGAUAAUAAUGAAGGAACAGAAAGGGUUUUCGAGUUAUACCUCACUUAACUCUGAAAUGGACUCAAAGCCUUUGCUCUUCUCCUUCUUCUUUAGUCCUUCCUUCCUUCUCUUCUACAAAGCUUCAAGAAAAUCACACAAAAGCACUCAAAUCACCAAAGGAAGGGUUAGGGUUUCGUGAGGGACACUCUGGUUGUGAAUGGGGGCCGACAUGGGGCACAUAAGGAUGUUUAAAUAGAGUGCAAACCCUUGAAAUUAUGGUUUCAUCCAGACUGGAGGAGUCGCCGAGUCCAGAAUAUGAACUCGUCGAGUCGCCAACUUAAACGUGCUCAAUAUCCCGUCUCUACUCCGCGAGUCGGGCCUACAACUCGUCCGGUCCAAGGCUAAAAAUGCAAAAUACUUAGAUCAAUCUUAUGUACCAGGAACCAGGUGCUACAAAUCUCCCCCACUUAUUUUAGACUUCGUCCUCGAAGUCUGCCUCUCGCUCCGGGAAAAGCUCGGGAUAGUGUUCCUUCAUCUCUUCUACCUGCUCCCAAGUCCACUCUGAACCCUUCCGGUGCUGCCAUUGCACCUUUACUAGCUCCACCUUCUUGUUCCUUAGAUUCUUCGUCUUCCGAUCGAGGAUCGCUACUGGUCGCUCAAUGUAGUUCAGGCUGUCAUCAACCUGAAUAUCCUUCAUCUUCCGAUCGAGGAUCNNNNNNNNNUCCACUAGGCACUUCCGCAGCUGGGAGACGUGGAAGGUGAUGUGGAUCUGACUAAGUUCGGCUGGCAGAUCCAGCUUGUACGCUACCUUGCCCAACUUUCCCCGUUUCCUAAAUCGGAUGUCACCCUUCCAUGGCGACACCUUCAGGAGAACCAUAUCCCCGACCUGGAACUCCAGGUCUGAUCGGCGCUUGUCGGCAUAACUUUUCUGUCGACUCUGUGCAGUCUGAAGCCUGCUCCGAAUCUGCUGAAUCCUCUCGGUCGUCUUGAGCACCACUUCGGUGCUCCCCAUGACCCUCUGGCCUACCUCACCCCAACAUAUCGGGGUCCUGCACCUCCUCCCGUACAACAUCUCGAAGGGAGGACGGUCAAUACUCGCGUGGUAGCUAUUGUUGUAUGAAAACUCAGCUAGAGGAAGAUAGGUAUCCCAGCUACCACCGAAGUCUAGCACGCACGCCCGCAACAUAUCCUCCAAAGUCUGGAUGGUCCGCUCACUAUAACCAUCGGUCUGCGGGUGAAAAGCGGUGCUAAAAUGCAGACGAGUACCCAGCUCUUCAUGGAACUUCUUCCAAAUCCUAGAAGUAAACCGUACAUCUCUGUCUGAAAUCACGGAGACUGGCACUCCGUUCCGCGCCACCACCUCUCCGAUCUAGAUAUCGGCUAACUUCUCUGCCAAGAUACUCUCCUGGAUCGGGAUGAAGUGGGCGCUCUUGGUCAACCGAUCCACGAUGACCCAUAUAAAAUCCACUCCCCGUGUGGUCCUUGGAAGCUUGGUGAUAAAAUCCAUCGUGAUGUCUUCCCAUUUCCACAGUGGGAUAUCCAACGGCUGCAUCUUGCCGUGUGGACGCUGGUGCUCGAACUUGACCUUCCUGCAGGUCAAGCACCGCUCAACGUACCAUGCUACAUCCCGCUUCAUGCAGGGCCACAAAUAGUCCAGACGAAGAUCCCUAUACAUCUUCAUUGCCCCUGGAUGAAUGGAAAAUCGGGAUUUGUGCGCCUCCUCCAUCAGAACCUGGCGCACGCCUCCGAGGUAUGGAACCCACACCCUGCGGUGUAAUGUCAAUAAUCCUCUGUUGUCAUAGUCGAAGGAGGAAACCUGACCCACUAUACGCUCACUCUUCCGAUGUUCCUCCUUCAUGGCCUCCUGAAUCCGCUACAAAAGUGGAGUCACCACUUUCAUCCGCAUGCAGAUACCUCUGAUCAGCACCGCCUUGCGGCUAAGCGCAUCAGCCACCACGUUACCUUCCCCGGAUGGUAGAGGAUCUUGCAAUCAUAAUCCUUUACCACAUCAAGCCACGGACGCUACCUCAUGUUCAGAUUUGGCUGGUCCAUGAGAUACCUCAAACUCUUAUGGUCCGUAUCGUACAACGGACCCCAUAGAGGUAAUGACGCCAAAUCUUGAGGGCGAAUACAACAUCCCCCAACUCCAAAUCAUGCAUCGGGUAGUUCGCCUCGUGAGGCUUUAGCUGCCUCGACGCGUAGGCGAUGACAUGCCCUCUCUGCAUCAAUACUGCGCCCAAACCUGAGAUGGAUGCAUCGUAGUACACAACAAAAUCCUCCAUGCCCUCUGGCAGGGCUAAGAUUGGUGCCUCGCACAAUCUCUGUCUCAGAAUCUCGAACGCUGCCUGCUGCUCAGGCCCCCAACGAAAUACCACGACCUUCCUCGUUAGCCUGGUCAUGGGUAAUGCUAUCUUGGAGAAAUCCUGGAUGAGUCUCCGAUAGUAGCCAGCUAAUCCCAGGAAACUCUGAAUCUUAGAUGGAGACUUCGGAACCUCCCAUCUCAUCACGGCCUCUACCUUGGCCGGGUCUACCGAAAUCCCGUUCUGUUUGACAAGGUUCCCAAGAAACUACACCUCGCGCAACCAGAACUCACACUUGGAGAACUUGACAUACAAGUUCUCCCUCCUCAAAGUCUCUAGAACCUCUCACAGAUGCUCCUCGUGCUCCUCCUGUGUCUUGGAAUAAACCAAGAUAUCAUCAAUAAACACUAUUACAGACCGAUCUAACAUCGGUCUGCACACGCGGUUCAUGAGAUCCAUGAACGCGACAGGAGCAUUGGUGAGCCCGAAAGGCAUCACCACGAACUCAUAGUGGCCAUAACGCGUCCAAAACGCCGUCUUCUGUACAUCCUCCUCUAUGACCCUCAUCUGAUGAUACCCUGAACGCAAAUCAAUCUUGGAGAACCAAGAUGCUCCCUGUAGCUGGUCAAAGAGGUCGUCAAUCCUCGGGAGUGGGUAACGGUUCUUCUCCGUUACCUUAUUCAGCUCCCUAUAGUCUAUACACAUACGAUGCGACCCGUCCUUCUUCUUCACAAAAAGAAUCGGGGCUCCCCAAGGCGAAUUACUCGGCCUGAUAAAUCCCUUGUCUAGCAGCUCCUUCAGCUGCGUAGACAACUCCUGCAUCUCGGGAGGAGCCAACCGAUAUGGUGCCUUGGCUAUCGGAGCCUCACCAGGGACCAGGUCGAUCCUGAAGUCCACCUGUCGCUCCGGAGGUAUCCCUGGCAACUCCUCGGGGAAUACAUCCGCAAACUCUCGUACCACGGGCACAUCGCCCACCGUCGCCCUACCCGUCUCCCGGGUACCCAUAAUAUACGUGACAUAUCAUGUGCAACCCUGCUGAAGGUAAUGCCUAGCUCUCGUUGUUGAACACAAAGAUGGUCCUUGCUGUGGCCUCUCGCCCUGAAUCACUAACUCUCCCCCACCUGGGGUCCUGACUCGCACUAGCUGUUGUGCGCAAUCUAUCACUGCCCCAUUAGGGCUGAGCCAAUCCAUGCCUAUAAUCACCUUGUUCCCACGUAAUGGAAUGGGAACCACGUCUACCAAGUAGCGCUCCUCAAAUAACCUCAGCACACAGUCUCGGAAGACCUCAGAUGCUCGCACUGACCGAUCAUCUGCAAUCUCGACCUCUAGAGGGCAAUCCAACAUGCCCGAAGACUCAAAAAACUUCUUGCUAAGCGCAAGAGAAAAAAAUGAUCAGGUAGCACCCGAAUCAAACAAUACAUGAACUGGGAUACCGUUCACAUGGAGUGAUCCUAAACAGAGAACAUAUCAAUAUCAUAAAUAAAUCAGAGGGAAAGAAUCGUACCCGUCACCACAUCGGGUGCGGUGCGUGCCUCCUCGGUCGUCAACUGAAAAUCCCGACUCCUCACCACUGGAGCCUCUGCCUUGCCCUACCUGUCAUCUGUAAUCCGCAGGGUCGUUGGGGCUGGCGCCUUCACUGGCGCUGCUGCUGUCAACUGGGGGCAAUUAGCCUUCUUGUGGCCCCUCUGGUUUCAGUGGAAACACAUCAACUCUGACGUCUGUAACACAGGUGCAAGGGCGGUACAAUCCCUGCUGAAGUGCCCUGUCUUGCCGCAUUUAUAGCAGCCCUACGAUCCCAACCUACAUGCCCCCUGAUGUGGCCUGCCGCAUUUCCUGCAGCGGCCUGAUCCUGUCUGGCCUUUCGGCCUACCAUCUGAUCCCUUGGGCUUCUUCCCCGAAACCCCUAUCGUCUGUCCCUCCUCUGUCUUCCUAUUCUGGAUGUGCUCCGGAUCUAUCUCCCUCUCCCUCGCCCUGGAAAUCAUAGAAUCCAGGGUAGGGCAAGCUGAAAAACUGACAUGCUCCCGAAUGUCGGCUUGCAGCUUGUCGUGGUAGCGGGUCCUCCUCAUAUCCUCGUCACCCGCAUACUGGGGCACCAAUAACGCCCUCUCCCAGAACUUGGUGGUGAUCUCCGCCACUGUCUCCGUCAUCUGUCUCAUGUCCAAAAACUCUCUGGCUAACUACUGGAGCUCCACCGCAGGUGCGAACUCCGCUCUGAACCGGGUCACAAAGUCCGGCCAUGUCAUAGCCUCAACAGCCGAGGCUCCCAAUGAGUCACCAACAGACUCCCACCAGUCUCUAGCUCUGUCUCUCAAACACCCUGCUGCAUAUCUCACCUUCGACCCCUCGGGGCAGAAGCUGAUCAACUGCGCAGACUCAAUGUCUGCGAUCCAUCAUCUGGCCACAAUGGGGUCCUUCGCACCAUGGAAAUCCGUCGCAACACUGCUCCUGAAGUCCUUGAAGGACAGUGUGCGAGAUCUUGACUGGCCAGAUGCCAUGUCACUCCUGAACGCCCUGAGGCGGUCCUCCAUCAGCUCCACUAUCCCUUCCUUGAUCGACCCGAAAAUGAUUGGUGUCGACUCAAGGAUGCCUCUGGUGAUCUCUGACGCGAUGAACUCGCGUAGCCUCUCAACCACUGGUUCGGAACCUGAACCCGAACCCGAUCUCUCUCCCAAACUACCAACUGCUGGCCUCGAACGUAGUACCACCAUUCUGCAAUACAUAACGACAACUGUCAGUGGUACUGAUACAUCUAGAGGGAUCACAUCUACUGCAAGGUUCCUGGUCUCGCCUCAGCCUUCCUCAAUUAAAGUACGGAUCCUCUGCUUCCAGUGGUACGUGCCCAUACUACCUUCCACAAUUAUCCGUACUUUCCUCAAGAACUGCCUCGACUCCACCAAGUCCCUUCUACUACUACUGCUGAUCUCAUGCUAAUCUCAUCCUAGGCUUGCCCUAGGUAAUCGCCAUCCCACUCUCUGCCAUCAGCUGCACAAGAAGUUCCUGCUUUCUUCCCCUAACUAGCUCGCGGAUACUAUUACAUAUUACUCAGACUAGAUAAUUCUUCGGAUGAGAGGUCCUACUCUACAACGGUUGGACUCAGACAAGAGCUGCGAAAUUGGGCUAGACCCAACCUUCUGGAAUUAUUUAGUCCUUGCAAUAUGUAACUUAGCAUAUUCGUUUACUAGUUAGUGAAAGACAACUAGAACUCCUAAAAGCACAUAGCAAGCAACAUUCGGGCAUUGAGUACACAUAAUCAAGUAUAUACUACUCUGGCUAUCGUACUGACUAUCUGUACUAGCAUACAAUGCUAAUCUCAUACUAUCAGGCAUAACCUAAACAUGCUAUCCCACUACUGUCUACUCAAUACUAGCAUGCAAUUCUUAUAAAUCUAAAGCACAUAAAGUAGGCAUAUAAGGCAUCAUUCCUAGAUCCUUAGUCCUAUUCUAGCAUGCUGUUCUACUGAAACUGAAACUGAUAAUCAUAACAUAACUUGUAUGGGUACUUUGGGGAAAACUUACUUGAGCUCGGCUGGUCGCGCGCAUCACACACUUCGUUUUUUCUCAAAACUCUUUUACUUAUCCUUUAGAAAUUCAUUUAUUUAUAAAAAUCUUUUAAUCCCUCGAUUUGAGUCCAGACAUCCCCCCGAAGGUGUGUCCGAAUCCCUCAAACCAGGGAUCUGAUACCAACUUGUAACAUCCCAAAAAUACAGGCCAAAAAUUUCAUUUUUAAAUCAAUGCUUUGGAAAAACAUUUGUGAAUAAACAUCGCCUGAUCAUAUAAUUUCAUAAACAUAUUUCAUGUCUGAAAUCCAACAUAUAAAAACAACCAUAAUGUCAGAGUACAAAAUCCCAGAAUAACUCAUGAUGCGGAAAACAAUGUGUGUGUAAGAUGUGUCGCUACCGCGCCAACUCUUUCCCCUUCGAUGAAGAGGUACCUGAAAAUAAAACUAUAAACUGUAAGCACAAAGCUUAGUGAGUUCCCCCAUCAUCCACAUACCAUACAAUCAUAUAGCAUACAUUCUGCCAGGCAUUUCUGGGGUGCCCAACCUACCCGGUACGGCCAUUCUGGGGUGCCGACCUACCCGUACGGCCAUUCUGGGGUGCCGAUCUACCCAUGCGGCCAUUCUGGGGUGUCGUCCUACCCGUGUCAAGCCAUUCUGGGGUGCUGAUUUACCCAUGUCGAGCCAUUCUGGGGUGUUGACUACCCUUCGGUUCUAACAACCGAACCUCAGGGACUAUUUCACCCUUACUACUACUAUCACAUAUAUCAUAUGAUAAUCUAUUGUCAGACAUAUCUGGGGUGUCCGACCUACCCUUCGCUCCUAACAACCGAAUCUCGGGGACUAUUCCCCCUCCUACUACCUCUAUCUCAUAUAACUUAUCAUGCUAGCUGCUAAACAUAUCAUAACAUACUGUUAGGCAUAUCUGGGGUGCCUAACCUACCCUUCGGUCCUAACAACUGAACUCUAUCACUAUCACAUAUCAUAUCACGCUAGCAUAUAACAUAUCAGGUAGUAGCAACACAGAUGAAUAUCACAAAGACAAACAUCUAUCAUACGAUCCCUACUGGUGGGCCGGCAUUGUGGCCGUAGACCCACCGCUACUGGAAGGGAACUCACCUCGUAGUAACUGCUGAUAUGUGCGGGAACUCUCUGUCUGCUGCUGCUGCUCUGGAAAUCCUCCGUCUAUAAAUCCCACAAAACACCCUAUCAGAGUCUGAUAUCUACUCUUUGGGUAAAAUGACCAUUUUACCCCUGAUCAAGUCAAGUCAAAGUCAAAGUCAACUUUCAGUUGACCUGACUCGCCGAGUUGGGCCUCCAACUCGUCGAGUCCCUAACCAAUCGAUUGUCCUUACUCCCGUCCCUACUCGUCGAGUUUGGCAUUGACUCGACGAGUUCUCCUUCUAUUCAAAUGUCCAAUGAUCCUUCAUCCGACUCGCCGAGUUGUAUGAACAACUCAUCGAGUUCAUCUUCAUCCGAUGAACACUCUGGUCUGGACUCGCCGAGUCCCUGCAUUGCUAAGUCUGGCUUCCGAUUCACUGAGUCCACUUAUAACUCACUGAUCCCACUCGACAUAACUCAAAAGGGGAAAAUCGGGGACUCGCGACUCGACUCGUCGAGUCCGAAGAACAACUCGCCGAGUCGUAUACAUGCAAUCACUAUAACUCGAUUCUGAUUGAAUCCAGUUCAUUCCAUUCAUAGAUCUAGGUUCUUAGGGCUCGUUUAACACGUAAAGUUUCCAACUUUACGUGUAUAUAAGCAUCAAUGAAGGUUAAAAGGCUCAAAAUGCACUAAAAGAGUAGAUCUAGGGCUUUUCAUGCAAUAUGGCUCCAUAAAGGUAUUAGAUCUGAGCUCCUAGAGCUCAAUCAUGCCUAGAUUUGAAGUCGCUUAACAUUAUAAGCUUAUUACUCAAAGAUCAAGACUCGAAGAGGCCUCAAAGUGACUAUUUUAAGCUCUUAAUGAGAUAAUAAUGAAGGAACAGAAAGGGUUUUCGAGUUAUACCUCACUUAACUCUGAAAUGGACUCAAAGCCUUUGCUCUUCUCCUUCUUCUUUGGUCCUUCCUUCCUUAUCUUCUACAAAGCUUCAAGAAAAUCACACAAAAGCACUCAAAUCACCAAAGGAAGGGUUAGGGUUUCGUGAGGGACACUCUGGUUGUGAAUGGGGGCCGACAUGGGGGCACAUAAGGAUGUUUAAAUAGGUUGCAAACCCUUGAAAUUAGGGUUUCAUCCAGACUGACGGACUCGUCGAGUCCAGAAUAUGGACUCGUUGAGUCGCCAACUUAAACGUGCUCAAUAUCCCGUCUCUACUCGGCAAGUCGGGCCUACAACUCGCCGACUCCAAGGCUAAAAAUGCAAAAUACUUAGAUCAAUCUUACGUAAGUGCUACAGUACUGACUGUCUUGAUUUCAAGUAAAGCACAAACUUGAGGCUCGUAGAAGAAAUAAUAGGCUGAGAUGUUUUUGAGAUAAAUUGCAGUAACCAAACUUAGAUAUUUAUGCAAUGUUUAAAAUAUAGACAUGUUUCAGAUAGUCAAGAAAUAAGUGUCGGACAGAAACUUCAAAAUUAUUAUGUUUUACCAUUAAACUCAACCGAAACAGAAGGAUUACAAACACACCAAGGAGGCAGCAGGUGAAACUGUUGACCCUUUUUGCCGAGUGAUUCUCUACCUUCAUAAAUUGAAUGAGAAUAAUCAUUAAAUUUAAGAAAUCAACACUACGUUUAUCUGUUUGAAAAUAAAAGAAGCUUUGCAUAACAUAUGAUCAAAGAAUUAGAAAGAAUAAUCCAUAAAAAUUCAGUUUGAAAAGCAUUCGUUUUUUACUUACCUGGAAAAGUAAGAAGCGAAUGACCUAGAAAAGAAGCCCAAACUAUGCAAGAAGAUUAAAUUAAAUAAAUAUCAUGAACCACCUAAAAACUCAAACCAUUGACGUUUUGGGGAAAGUAAAGUCUAAGCAAGAAAAACAGAGCCUUCAAAAUUCUGCGAAUUCAAUUCAUUGUAGGUAGAGUAUAAUAGAGAAAUAAAAUAAAUAAAUAAAUAAAUAAGUGAAAAAUGCCAAAAGCAAUCGAUUACAACUAUUAUGUGGGAAACAUGGAUCGCUUAAUUGAAAUUACUAUUUAAACCAAAUGUACUAAAAAAACGAAAAAAAUAAAAUCAUUAAGUUGUUGAAGCCAUAGCCGAGUCAGCAAAAGAAUGUCUUUCAGUUCAUGUUUUUUUCUUUACACCAAGUAACCACUCCAAAGAACAGAUUUAACAAAAAAGCAACUAAAUAUAGCAAUUGCUUGGGUUAACAAAUCAUUAAACUGGAGGGGGUUAUGAAAUUACUAGAAAAUAGUUCAAUAGCCUUAAUUAGAAGAAUAAUCAAGUGAGUAUCACAACAAGUCUAUUCAAUCAGAUAAUGGACGAAGGAAAGAGGUGCACUAGAAGCAAAGCUAAGGCAUGAACCCUGGUAAAUGUAACUUUACCUAUGCUAUAUAGCUGACUUCAAAAUAAGCCAAACUGCACGUGUGAAUUCAAAUGUUCCUCUAGAACUGCCAUCCUUGUAGGAGAUUACAACAAAGUGGUAAAAUAGAGAGUAAUGUAAAGUUUUUGUUGGAAAAAACAUUAAUCUUUUAAUAAAUAACCAAAGGAGACACCACAUACCUCUUGUUGUUUGUUCUUUAUAAACGAUCCAAAAGUUGUAUCUAUGAACUUCAGCUCCGGAGUAGUUGACUGUUUGUGAAAACUGUUAUUUCCGGACAAUCUUUGAUUUCCAAAGCAGUUAACGAUGGCCAUUCAAAAGCCUCCUUCCCCAGGCAAAAUCCCUUGAGAUUUGGAAGCUUUUCAAGUGUUAUGGAUUUCAGACAAGGGAACACAACCUCAAGUAGUCGGUCUGGUUUCAGAAUCUUCAACUUGCUUCACAAUCACAUCCAUACUCUCGCAGUCAGUUAUUUGUAGCUCUUGGAGCCGCAAUAGACUACCAACCAUGCAACCUGUGAAAACGUGUCCAAGAAGUGGACAUUUAUUAAUUGAGACCUUUGUAAGGUUUGGAAAGUUCAACACUAUCCUCCGAUUGCGCUUCCACAUAUGCUUCAGAUUAUCUAUUCCACUCAAAGUCACCUCUUUUAGCUUCUCAAAUACCACAACACCUUUAUUUGUCCCUUCUUCAAAAUCCACAUCUUCAUUUGUCCCUUCUUCUACUUCAAAUACCUCCUCUGUUACAGAGUAAUACUCACCAUAGUAAGACGGGACUACAGUAAUUGAAACCUUUUCAAGAUUCUUCAAAUUAUGCAACUCGUUGCAUGGGAAAAUUAUGCGGCAUAACCACAAAUUAAUAUCAUCCUCCUGUUCAGCUACUUCAACCAAAUUUGAAAAAGACCAAGGGAACUGAAGUAGGUGUAAAGGGUUCAUAUAUAUAGGGUUGAGUGUGCUAAGAAAAAACAAACAUAAAUCACCACAAACACCAUAAUUAUAAAGGACAAAUACAUUUAGUAUAUAAACAUAUUAAAAGAUUGUAAGUUAUAUUAUUCUUUUCUGAACCAAAAUGUAUUAGAAAUCGACAGCCUAGCUAGUCUAUGACACUACCUACAUUAGUUCUUUUUUUUUGUGUGUCAAAAUGAGCAAUUAAUGUGACGAAUAGGGUUCAAAGAAUUAAGAUUUAUAUAUCGUAUUAUUACUAUUUAUAUUUUUAUUGCAUACUAAAAUAUAGCAAGAGAUAUAUGGAUGUUAUAUUUAUACUUUUACAACAAUCUCAUCUACAGAGUUUUACUCAAAUUUUAGUUAAUUCAAGCUACAUAUAUUGUUAGUUUGGAAAAGACUACCAGAGAAAAGAACAACUUGAUUAAGUAACUACUAGCAUCACAAUAGUUAUUAAUGAUUUGUGUUAGGUAAGUUAAUUAAACUGGGUGAAAAUAAAUGAGUUAAUUACAAAUUAUUGUUGCAUAAUUAUUGAUUUAGGAAAAGGACGAAUUGAUUACAAUAGAACCAUUUCUAGCUAUGUAAUUUUAAAAUGAUUUAAAUCAGAAUAAACUUGCCAAAUAUCUUUUAUAAUACAUAAGAAAAUAAUCUUUUUAUAUUCAUGUAUUUAAUCUAAAUGGUGUUUAACUUGUUACAUCUUCUAUUUUAGGAAACUUAACUAUUAUGUGCUCAAAAUUCAAAAUGGUUUGAUAAUUGAGUUGAAAUUUUUAUUAUACUUUAGAGCAUACAAAAUACUAAAGGUUCAUAGCAUGUCACGCCCUUUUAUAUCUAUUGUACAUAAUUCGUUUUAUAAAUUUAUCGUCACUAUCCGUUAUCCGAUGGAUAUCAUGAUAUUUAUUUAUUUGUUUAAUCCAUAUUUUUUGUAUUAUAUUAUGUAGACAAAAAAAGUUUUACUUUAUUUAUAUUGUAAUAAAGUUAAAAAUAUCAUAAUAUUAUCAAUAAUAUUUAAAAUUUGUACCAUUUUAUGAACUUGUUAAUGAUUUAGUUUAUUCACGAAAAUUUUAGAAAUCCUUUUUUUUCUUAGGUUCUCAUUUUGUACAUGCCCUCCCUUGAAUAGUUGUUAUUCCAAGCCAUUAGUAAUUAAGUGUUUGUUUUUCUACAAAUGAAUUUUUUUUUCAAUAUACAAAAAGUAUAUUGAAAUGUUUCCACUCUCUUAAGGUUCUGUUUAAGUUUAAAAAUUAGAUUAUAUUUUAAAUAAAUAAUUACAUGUAUCGUACGGUACCUUCUUAUAGCAAGUACUGCUAUACGAGCUCGAACCCCCACGAUUCACAGUUGUUUGCUUUUCACGGAUUUUUUUGUUCCUUUCUGAAGCAAUUUUGUGUUCGUCAGUUUGAAAAUACUCAACUGUCUUCUCCCAGUUAUCAACAAGCAUAGCAUCCGGAGGAUUUGCCAAUGCUCUCGGGAUAUCUUCAUACCCUCCGACCUUCUUGAAAUAUUCUUUUGCGUCGGCUUUACGCUCUCAAAAACCUUUUAACAAGGCUGCUUGAAAACUCUCUGUCAAUAGAGUAGCUUGUGCAUCCUGGUACAUUUGAUUGAGAUCAAACUUUGUCUACAAUAUAAAAAAAAGUUAACCAAGUAAAAAACAAUUAUAGUUAAACCUAUAAAAUAUAUUUAAAUAAAUAAUUACCGCUAAAUGUUAUAAUAUAGUGUCCUUUAUAUCAGGGGAAACUCUUUUCCAACUCCAUUUGUCGAAAGGGACCAUCUGCCACAUUGUUUUCCCAACUUCUCGGGAAAACAUGUCUCCCGCCUCUCCUACGGGAUUAAAUGUGAUAUCCCUAUCAAAUUGCAUGGCUAUUGGUUUCCCCUGGUUCUGCAAGAUUGCUUUUUCAAGCUUUAUAUUUUUUGCUUUUCCUCGAGCUUUCCUUCGGGCACGUCCCUCAACUACAAAUGUAAUUAAAAAUUAUUAGAAACGACAUUUAAUUUAUGAUAAUUGAACAAAAAUAGUAAAUAAAAAUUCAUGAUAAGACUUACCGUCCAGCUCGUGCUGGCCAGGACCUCUACCACCUGGGAAAGGUGGGUCCUCAGCUCCGUCUCCCCCAUGUCCACGACCCAUGACAGCAGCCAUGGUAAACAUAAACAACAGCCACACUCUCAUCAUUUCCUGAAAAAUUAUAAGAUAUACAAAUACAAUUUUUAUUAUAGAUACACAUUACAUAGAAAUAAACAUUUAGAUAGGAAUAAACAUUUAGAUAGGAAUAAACAUUUCCAUUUAAACUAGAAAUCCAAAUACAGUUCAUAUUACAAACACAUAUUACAAAUACAUAUUACAUAAGAACUAUUCUAAUCAGAAUCUUCCUCAUAUCCUUCAGUGUCUUCUUCGGUAUCAUAGUCAGAAUCGGUGUCAUCGUAAUCAGUAUCGCAAUCAGAAACAUCAUUGACUCUACCAGUUGGCGGAGGAACUUCAGAUGCACUUUCUACAUCAACAAUGACUCUAGGAAUGUUUUGAAAGUACAUGCUGAAAUCGAUAAAAAGCGGAGCAUCGGAUGAAGAGAUAUUUUGAAGUACAUCGACAUCGUCUACAUUUUCGUGUGAGACAUUGUCAACAUUUUGAACAAGGUCAUCGUUCGAUGGUAGAUCCCAAAUACUUCGAUGAUUAACAUGCUCGACAACACACCGAUGGUUAUUGUUUGGCUCUCUGAUGUAGAACACUUGUUUGGCUUGUGACGCAUAUAUGAGUUGAUCAUCUUUGUAUGCUUCGCGUCGUGUGUCGAUACUGGUGAAACUAUCACUAGAAAUAACUCCUGUUCGAGUAUCAAACCACUUGCAACGAAAUAGUACAGUUGAAUAAUCAUGUGUAUACCUCAACUCUAUAAUCUCUUCUAACUGGCCAUAAUACUUCUCGCCUUUCUCACCCACCGCUAAAACCCCAGAGUUUUGUGUUGUACGUUGUGUGUCACGACUAAGUACCAUAAACCUAACACCAUUGACUAUGCAUGCGGUGUAAGAAUAGGCAUUCAUUUGCGGGCCCAUUGCAAGAACCGACAACUCUUCGUGGAAUUCUGGAGAUUUUUCUAUUUUCAUUUGAUGAACCUAACAAUUAUAAAUUAAUAUGUAUUAUGUAUUCGUUAGAUCAAUGAAACAAAUUUGUUUAUUAAUUUAUAUUACCUUUUCACGAAACCAAUUACGAAAUUCUCUCUUUUCAUCACUUUGGGGAUGCUCAGAUUUGAAUUUCCUAUGUUGAUGACCAAAAGAUAUAGAUUUAAAAAGAUAAAAUAAAAAAUUAAGAAUGAAAGUUAGAGAUAAGAUUAAUUACUUGAUAUACUGUCUGACUUCUUCACAGCUAUUCAAUACAAACCAUUCCAUGUUAUGCAUUUCCGUUAAAUUAAGAGUUUUGAUUUGAGUUGUGCUGGUCGGUCGACAUUUAGACUCAAACAUCCAAAACUUUGUUUUUUCAAUGACAAUAUCUACAUUUCUUUCCGGACGAUUCUUUACAUCUCGAAGGUACAUUGAACAAAAUGAUAAAGCUUCUUCAGCAACAUAACCCUCAGCUAUAGAACCUUCUGGCUUCGCCUUGUUUCUGACAUAGUUUUUUAGUUUUUUCAUAUAUCUCUCGAAUGGAAACAUCCAUCUCAUACAAACCGGGCCUCCAGCAAUUGCUUCAUCAGGUAAAUGCAAAAGUAAAUGAACCAUAAUGUCAAAAAACGCCGGAGGAUAAAUCAAUUCUAACUUGCACAAGAUUGCAAUAAUGUCUACUUUUGCUUUCCUCAUAUCCUCCACCUUCAAUGUUCUGGAACAAAGUUGCUUGAAAAACGUACAAAGGUCUACAAUAGGUGUAUAAGUAUCUUUGUCUAACAACCCUCUUACUCCAAUCGGUAUCAAACGUUGAAUAAGAAUGUGGUGGUCAUGCGAUUUCAACCCAAUAAUGUUAGUAUUGGUAUCGUUCACUUUCUUACUAAUGUUAGAACCAAACCCAUCCGGCAGCUUAACCUCUUUUAUAAAUUGACAAAAGAGUUGUCGACUAGAUUUCGUGAAAGAGUAUCUUGCCUGGGGUCUAUGAAACUUGUCACCAUUUUUUUGCAACCAUUCAUUUCUCCGAAUGUUUAGAAUUCUCAAGUCCUCUCGUGCAUUUGAUGUGUCUUUGCUUUUAUCGUUCAUUAGGAGAGUACCUAACAAACUCUCGUCCACAUUUUUCUGGACAUGCAUGACAUCUAUGUUGUGUUUCAACUGUAGAGAAGACCAAUACUCGAGUUCGAAGAAAAUGCUUCGUUUCGACCAGUUCAACUCAUAAUCUUGCCGCUUUGGCUCCCCGCCUCCAUGCUCAGGAUGUUUACCCGGUUUACGAGUUAGUAGACGACCUAGUUGCUCUUGUAUGUCAUCAUUACUAAAGUGUCUCGGAGCGGGUCUUGUCUCUUCCAUCCCAUUAAAGUCCAACCUCUUUCUUAACGGAUCAUUAGCAUCUAGGAAACGACGAUGACCGAUAUAUACGACUUUGUUUGUUGCACGGUACGAAGGAGUGUCUUCAUUGCAAGUAGCACAUGCUCUAUACCCUUGCCCACUCCAACCCGAUAAACUACUACGAGCUGGCCAAUCGUUUAUUGUCCACAACAACAUAGCUCUCAUCGUGAAGAAUGUGUUUGUCGCCGCAUCUUUAAUACGUACGCCUGAGUUCCACAAAUGUUUAAGCUCUUCCACCAACGGUCUAAGGAAAACAUCCAUAUCCUUACCUGGAGCUUUCGGUCCUGGAAUCAACAAAGUCAACAUGAAUGAUGACUCUUUCAUACAAAGCCAGGGUGGCAGAUUGUAUGUGGUGAGUAUGACCGGCCAUGUGCUAUGUGGAUUACACAUGUUUCCAAAUGGAUUGAAACCGUCAGCUGAAAGACCUAGGCGUACGUUACGGGGUUCACUCGAGAAGUCGGGGUAUUUUUUAUCAAAAUCUUGCCAAUGUUCCCCAUCAACAGGAUGAAUCAUCACACCAUCUUCUGAACGUCUGGUACUAUGCCAAAUCAUAUUUUUGGCAGUGUGCCUCGAACAAUAUAAACGUCGUAGUCUAGGGGUCACAGGAAAGUACCGUAACACCUUAUGAGGUACUUUCUUACCCUUGGUGUUUUUAUCGAUCCAUCGGCUCUCUUUACAAACGGGACAAACUUGCAAUGAAUCAUGUUCUUUCCAAAAGAGACAACAAUCGUUUUUACACACAUGUAUCGACUCAUACCCCAGGCCAAUAGACUUUAGUUUCUUUUUGGCUAGAUAAUGUGAAAGGGGAACCUUGUUGCCUUUGGGAAAUGCUAAUUGCAAGAGCUCAAGGAGUUGAUCAAAUGAACUAUCAGUCCAUUUGUUGUUCACCUUGAUAUGCAUUAACUUUGCUAGAAACUCAAGGGAAGAAAAGAUGCAACCAGUAUACAAUUGAGUUUCCAUUUCUUCCAACAACUGUGCAAAAUCAUCAUCCACACCGCUACCCCUUGUAUUCGAGGUUCCUUCAUCGAGGUUGGUAUCAUUUUCUCUCGACUCCCACAUCACAUCGUCGAUUAAAUCGGCCAUUUCGUUACUUGGCAAGACGACGGGAGGAAUAAAAGAUUCACCAUGAUAGAUCCAAAUUUUGUACGCCUUACUGAAACCAUUUAUAAAUAUAUGGCGUUCAACUACAGUCGGGUACUUGAAGUAACGGUUAUCACAUUUUUCACACGCACAUCUGAUUUUACCAUUACUAUCAAGGUGCAACUUCGACUUCUCAAUAAAAGCUUUGAGUCCUGCUUGGAACUCGGGAUGGUUUCGAUAUGGAUUAGUAGUCCAGCUUUUAUCAAUAGACAUGAUGUUGCUGAAACAUAAUUUUGGGUUUAGAGUUUAGUAUACAGAAUUAGCAUUGUUUUUUUUCAAUCCACAUUUUUUUUACAUCUAAAAUAAUACAAAAAUUAAGUAAUAAAAAAAUGAAAAAAAUAAAUUAAAAAUUUUUAUUUAUGCAUUUUUUUAAUUAAUUUUAAUUAAAAUUACUUGUAAGUUAGCUUGGGUAAAAACUAGAAGCUUUCUAGUUUUUGUAUAUAAGUUUUUAAACAAUUUUAUAGUUUUUUUUUUGUGUUUUUUUUUUCAAUUUAUAAAAAUAAUGUAUUUUUUUUUUCAAUUAUAGCAUCCUACUUAUACCAAAACCACAUAGUUUUACAUAAUACAUAAGAAGGUGAAAUUCACAUACUUUUACAUACAUAUACCACAUAUACACCAAAUACAAAUACACACAAAAUAACAUCCUAGUUAAACCAAAUACACAUAAUUUCACAUAUAUACAUAAUAACAUCCUAUUUAUACCAAAUACAAAAGUUUCACAAUCAUAUAUCACAUUUACAACAAACAUACAUACAUUCACAUACACACAAUAACAUUCUACUUAUAACAAAUACAUAUAAUUUCUACUAAUAUACCACAUAUACAUCAAACACACAUACAUUGGAAUAUAUAUACCAAAUUCACAUAUAUUCAAACAAAUACGGAAUAUACAAUUUAAUUUUUACAUAUGACAAUUUUCACAUAAUUUCACAUAUAAAUACAACUUAAAGCUAUACAACUAAUUGCAAUUAAAUAACCACAAACAAAAAAAUUGAAUAACUUGCUUCUAAUCCAAAACAACACCACCAAAAAUAAAGAAUAUGAGCAAUUUAUUAUCAUUCAAUCACUACAUAAAUCUACAAAUCGAAAUUCAUACAAAAUAAAAAUGAAAUCAUCAAAAAAAAACUUACCUUUCUUCAAGAAAUGGAGGUACCUAGAAAUUGAUCCCAAAGCUUUAGCCACACCUAGAGACACUUGCUUGGAACAAUGCUUCUAAUCCAAAACAACACCACCAAAAAUAAAGAAUAUGAGCAAUUUAUUAUCAUUCAAUCACUACAUAAAUCUACAAAUCGAAAUUCAUACAAAAUAAAAAUGAAAUCAUCAAAAAUAAACUUACCUUUCUUCAAGAAAUGGAGGUAGAAAUUGAUCCCAAAGCUUUAACCACACCUAGAGACACUUGCUUGGAACAAUGUGGGGAGAAAUUUGCUUGGAAGAAGCAGAUUGAAGAGGAAAUCGGCCAGAUGGUGAAGGAAAUUGGAAGCAAACAGAAAGGAAAAUGAAGAAGGGAGGUUAUCUGCGUGCGUUUUUUUUUUUUUAUCUGCGACAGGCAAUAUCGGCGACACCUUUAGCGGCGACGCUAGGGGCAUUACCGACGACAAUGAGUAAUAGCGGCGACAAACUGGAGGGAAGGGUACCACGUCAUUUUUAGCAGACUAUUAGCGGCGACUUUUUUUAACCUUUAGUGGCGACAUCAGUGUCGCCGGUAUUAGGUUAGACAGGCUAAGGCACCCCACCCAUUGGAUUAGAUAUCUCAUCGAACGGUUGAGAUGCAAUAGAGGGGGAAAGUGCGGAUUCGGGUGACAACCCUUUAGCGGCGACACUAUUAGCGGCGACAAGGGGCUUUACCGACGACUUUAGAUAAAGUUGCCGGUAAAGCCCCUUGUCGUCGGUAAUAGUGUCGCCGCUAAAGAGUAUAUUUCUUGUAGUGUCUCUAUAUUAAAGUAAACAAGAAUAAUUUUGAGAUAUAAAAAAAUUAAUAAUGUUCAAUAUUUUUAGAAAUAAUACAUAAUUUUUUUUUACAAAGCUAAGUUUAUAUAUAUUGAAAUAUUGCAGGUGUUAAUUGUAACCAAAUGGUGCAACUGAUAAAAUGGUUGUAGAUGAAAAUUAAAUGUUUUCUUAAUCAACAAGAUUAUGUGACCCUGACAUUAAAAUGAGUUUAAUUUGAAUCUUACAAAAAAAAAAAAAAUUGAACUUUUAAUUUGUAUGAGCCUUGAAAAACCCACCCAUAAUAAGUGUUGCAAUUGGCCGUUGUCUUUAGUUCAUCUAACUUAAUAUGGAAACUAACUUGGUUGACUUUUGUAAGAGUGAAUUUAACAUUAUUUUUAACAUUACAGACAAUUUAAUAUCGCAAGAGUAAACUAAUAAAUUAUAAUAAAAUAAAUUGCAAAUCUUCCUAAAUUUGGAUAAAAGAAAGGGAGGUGUUUAUGUAUUUGUAUUGUUUUCGUUUUGUGGAAUACACACAUGAACCACUUAAACUUGUAUGCAAAUAAUAUCUUUAACAUCAUAACAUGCUGACACGGUUACUUGAUUAACGUUGCAAGUAAAGUAACAACAUACCACAUGUGGAGCAUUGGUUAAAUGAAAGUUGAGGCCACAUUCAAGACUAUGCUUGCCUAUUCCUGUAUGUAUGUAUUUGAGCUUCGGAGCAUUGAAGUGACUAGAUGUGAAAUUCAUCAUUUGUGGGCAGCCAUAAAUCUCAACCUUUUCCAAUACUGGCCACGUGAACUUAUUCGUCCCCAAGAAGAAACCCUUUUGAGAUUUGGUAAAAAAACCCAAUGUAAAAGACUUGAGACGAGGGAAGACUAUAAUAGAUUUAGAUGUUUCUGUGUGCUCUCCAUCUUCCUUCACAAUCACUUGCAUUGCCAUGCAUUCUGCUACAAUCAAUUAUUGAGUUGAUUGAGGUUUUCAAGUGUGGAACUUGUGAAUAUAUAUUCCAAAACUUCACAUCUUUCUAUUUCAAUAUCGUUAGGUUGGCCAAUUCAAGCAGAGUCAUAUUUGCCGACCUUGGGAUGGUGAUUGCAGUACAAGUAUCAUCACUUCCAUCAUCAACAUUAGUAGUACUAUCAACACCAUCUUUGUUUAUUUCUUUACUUUCAAAUAUCUCCACCAUUGACUUACAUUCUGAUAUUGUCAGCUCUUCAAGCUUAUCGGUUGUCCCACUACAUACGUGCAAACACUCUUGAUAGGCCAUGACAAUCAAAUAUAAUAAUCUUUUUGGAGUAUUGGCAUAAGAACCAAGAAGCAACAAUACCUUGAGAACACUACAUUACAUGAAAAAUCAAUUAAGCUGAUUGAAUUAAAAAAGCUUAGUUGUUGGCUACACACAUGCAAAUUGCUUAUAUGUUCAAUUAUUAACACAACAUUUGCAUAUUAUAAAUGUGGUUACAAACACGAGAGGGGCUCCUCAUAUGACUAAGGUACUUAAGUAACAAUUUCGCCAAGAGAAAUUAAAAUUCAAAAUUAAUAUAGCACCAAGUUAUGAAGAGAAAGUUGCAUUUGAUAUUGUAUCCUAUUACCUCCUCAAAGUAGAAGGAUAAAAACAUAACUUUACUUUUAAAUUUAUUAUUAAAUACACAAUUUGCAAUCAAUAUAUUAAAAAACUUUACUUUUAAAUUUUUUAUUAGAAACAUAAUGUACAAUCAGUAAACUUAUACUUUCGUACUUGCAUUGAUUAAAUCAUCUUCUUUAUGUUUUAAAAAAUUUAACCAACAUAAAUGGUUAAUUUAGGACGCAAUGACAAAAUGGAGAACUUAGUGUAGAGAAUGUUAGCAUCUCAAUCACUAUUAAUAAUUGAUUUGUCAAAGUCUUCCAUCAUAUAUACAGAAGCCAAACAAUAUCAGAAAGAUUAUAUUACAAAUUUUGAAAUGAUUAACCAUUAGAGAAACAAUACUGAAAAGACUCAACCCGAAAUUACCUUUAAUGAAAUGAUCUCAACAAUGGCAAGUUUAGCAAGUUUAGUCAUAUAAGCGGUGUCAACUUCCCCUUCUUCAAGGGCACUAAUUGCAAUUGACAUGACUUUAAAUACACCAACAAUAUUCCUAAACCUCUGCAAAUAAUAGGAAAAAGAAGUUCAAAUAGUAUUUUUUUUUUUUAUUACAUGUGUAAUUUAUGUUACAGUGAGUGAUAAGUUGUAUAGUAACACGAUGCUUGUUAUGAAAUUAGAGUCUCCUUUACCAAUCAAACUCUUCGUCGUCUGAGGAACUGGAAAGUUUUUGCCAAUCAACCACCACAAUGAGGCAGAAAACCCUAAUCAGAGAAAAUUACUACAAAAUAGUAAAACCUUUGGAAUUGUUGAUUGGAGGUCAAAGAGAUUUAAUUACCAGGUUGAAACUUGGGAUAAGGAUAUUGGAGAUGCCUUCUGGCUUAUGACAUCCCCAUUUUCACGGCCAGAAAAGUCUGAUUUGUUUAUGCUUUGUUUUAUAAAUCAGAGUAAUCUUUUAAAAAAAAACAGUUGCAGAAUUUGUUCCCAAAACAAAAUGUGAUAAGAAUUUAUCAAAGCAUUUCUUUAAAGAAAUGUAUUUUCAUUAAAUAACAAAAUCUCGAGAUGUCAUGUUCCGAUACAUACCAAAAGCAUAAACAGUAUAAAAUAGACCUAACGACAGUCAUUUAUAACUACUGAUCUAUAAUACAAAAUCUCUCGUCAAGUCCACCAACUUAUACUCUUAUGCCAUUACCUAUAAUGCAAAGAAAACUGUGUGGGUCAGGCUUGGGAGCCUGGUAAGCAUAUAUGGUUUUCAACCCACAAUAAUAUAAUUAUUAUAUUCAAUCAUCAAACAAUCAACCCAAUUACCAUCCCCAUUAUCUUCUUUAUUUCUUAAGGUUUUACCCUAAGAAUCGACUAUCCUUCCUUCAUUCGUUCCUAAGGAUUGACCUAAGGAAUCGGCACAAAGUCCAUUGCUACCACGAUUUAUACAACAGGCACUACGUCACAUAGUCGCCAGGGUUUAUACAGUAGGCACUACGUCUCAUAGUCACCAGGGUUUAUACAAUAGGCACUACGUCGCAUAGUCACCAGGGUUUACACAAUAGGCACUACGUCUCAUAGUCAUCAGGGUUUACACAAUAGGCACUACGUCUCAUAGUCACCAGGGUUUAUACAAUAGGCACUACGUCUCAUAGUCACCAGGGUUUAUACAAUAGGCACUACGUCGCAUAGUCACCAGGGUUUACACAAUAGGCACUACGUCUCAUAGUCACCAAAUAUUUCAUCUAACCAUGUUCUACCCAACAUAUUUGUAGAUAUAAAAUACAUAUACGGUUUAAAUCAUUAAAAACCUGUAUAAAACAUCCAUUCAACACCCAUCUCAAAUAAACAAACAAUAUAUAACACAUAGCACGUAUUUCAUAGCAAAUACUUCAUAUUUAUGUGUUAGAAGAAAGUAACUACACACUCACUUGAUAAUACGAUUAUCGGACAGCACCUCGUCUCUUAAAACAAUCGCUUCCGAUGAAACUGGUAUGCUUCCUUGAAAACCGGGUUUCUCACGGGCAGAGUUUCGGUUCAGGAACUCUGUUUCUCGGGAUCUUCGGGGCUUCGGGACUUGCUUUGGGUCUCGGGAUGAUACCGGGGCUUCGGGGUAUAAUUUGCACAUAAAAUGAUGAAAUACGGGAGAGAGAGAGAGAGAGAGAGAGAGAAGAAAUGGGCAACCAAAUUCGGCUGCCCAAAUGAUCUAUUUAUAGGGUUGGAGUCUGGCCACGAACACAGUGCAUUCCCCAAACGAACGCAGAGCGUUCCCCGAACGCGGUGCGUUCCCUCAACGAACGCAGGGUGUUCCCACAUGCGUCAUUGCUUACGAACUUUGGACUCGACAGGUGACGAGACUGUCUCUAAUGCUCCGAACGCGGUGCGUUCCCUGAAGGAACGCAUGGCGUUCCCCUUCAGCCAGCCUCGAAGUUUGUGCUUCAAUCUUUUAAAUCCCAUAACUUUCAUGUACGAUCUCCGUUUUCGACGUUCUUUAUAUCCACGCGUAGGUGAGAGUAUUCUCUACAACUUUCAUUUAGACUCCGUUGGCUAAUUUUGAGCUUUUUUAUUAUAUUAUUUUUAACUGGCUGGGACUGGAAAAGUCCGUUAAAAAUCCAUAACUUCUUCAUCCGACGUCCGCUUUUGUCUGUCUUUCUUCCAUUGCACUACUAUCGAUGAGAUUUUCGAUUCUCGUUUAGAUUGUUUCGACUAAAAAUCGCCCGAUCUCAUAAUCGAACUUUGGGCUGCAUACCGCUAAGCUGAAACUUAGAAAAAUCAUAACUUCCUCAUACGAAGUCAGAUUUGGAUGUUCUUUUUAUGCACACUCUCGGUUUAACGUAUUCUACGACUUUCGUUUAGAUCACUAAGGCCAAAUAUCGCUCCAUCGUAAAUUCACUAUGUACGUUGCGCUGUGUCGUGUCGGUUCUGUCGCGAAACUUCGACAGAUCAUAACUUCUUCAUUAUAACUCGGAUUUCGGCGUUAUUUAUAUGUACGGAAUCCUUGUAACAUAUACUAAAACUUAGUUAAGAUUACUCCUUCUAAAUAAUCUUCCAUAAAAAAGUCAUUUUUGAUACUCAUUAUCUCUAAAUUGACUAGCACUAAUCCACGGGCGUUACAGCGCUGGAGCACAAAGCUUGAAGAGAUAUCAAUAGAUUCAGAUUUGACGCGUACACCUUACCAACAUAUUAGAAUGGUAGAUAGAAAGGGAAGUAGUGGAUUGGCUUUUGUCAAACAACAAUCAAAAGGAAGUAUGGAUUACUUUGAUGUAUAUGGCGUUGUUCCGGGAUAUAUUGAUAGGUGAAGGAGAUACGAGAGAGUUGAGUGUUGCCGGACCUAAGGUUGCCGGCAAGGCCAGGCGAAGCGAGGUGAUAUUGUCGAUUGUUGCAGAGGCUAGAGAGAAUCAAGAGAAUUUGAGAAGGUAGAAAAGAACAAGGUAGGUUUUCAAAAUUUUAGGGAUUUCAUUUUCCCCCGUAUCUACUAAAUGCGCGUUCAUUAAAAUUAUAAACCGACACUUAUAGAGGAUGCGCAUUUAAGAUACGCGCAUUUAAGACACUAAUUUAAGGGCACGCAAUAAUGCGUGACCUAAAUCCUUAAAUAUUUUGAAGAGAUGACACUUUUUUAAUGUCAUUUUCUUUUGCGUAACAUAAAUCAAUGAGUGUCAUGGUUUACACGUUGUACAAGGGUCUUUUUCUUGUAGUGUGUGUGUGUGUGUGUGUUACAUCUAAACCUAAAAGAUUUGGUCUAGCUUAUCUAAUUUUUAUAAAGGAAAAAAAUUAUACUAUCAUCAUUUGUGAAAAUAGAAAUUAUUAUUGUAAAUUCCAAGGGGAAAAUACUCCUCAAUAUCAGGGUCUAUUGCGAAAAUAGAGGUCCAUUCACCAUACAUUAGGUUGUAUAUUGUAAUAUCUAUCGUAAAUUUAGUAUAUUAAAUAGAAAAUAGACAUCUGUUCAUUAUACUUAGGUUGCAUGUAAACAAAAUAGAUAAAUAAAUAAAAUCAUUUUUGUUCCAAUAUUCACAUUACCUACCAAAAAUUAUCAAUACUGUUGAAAUGAAUAACAAACAUCAUUUCAAUAAUUUUUCUCUCCUUCGCAAUCUGGUCCAAAAUUGACCAUGUAUGUAACUUAAUUUCAGUGAAAUUAGAUAACAAAUGCAUUUGAUAUGUUUUACAACCCUGUGAUCUAUAAAUCUCUUUAAUAACCUAUGCAAGAGAAAAAAAAACUAUAAGAACUGGGCAUGUAAUUAUGAAAAGAUAUAUAACGCGUCUAAUUGAGAAAAAAAAUAAUAGAAAUGUUGUGAAAUCUGUGCUGCUGCUGCUACUGGAACUCUCUAUCUCAAACACCACUUCAACAUCCUUACAGCCAGUUACUUGAAGGACGUUAAGAAAAGGUUUGGGAUGCAUUGAGGAUUCAACGUCACGAAUAUUACCAUACACCUCUGAAAUGAUAUCUUCCUUGGAUAUAACAUUAAUCUGCAGAUAUCUCAACAAUAAAUAUAAUUCAAAAUUUCCAAUAACUAAAAUUUAAAUUAAUUAUUCAUAAAUGGCACACCUGUUUAAAUCUAUUUACAUAACUAAAGUUGACAGCGAUUAAAUUAACUGAUUUUUAAUAAUUUCCAAUGAUGACUUAUUUGAUACCUACAAUAAAUAUUCAAAAUACUCACACUUACACAAAUACAUAAAAAUAACAUUUUUAGACUAACAUACAAAAUUGGUUAUCUGGUUUUUUGGUUUAUGUACAAAAAAAUCAUUUUGCAAUUUUGAUCCUUAUCACUCACACCGGUAACUUAAGUCUGUUAAAGCCUUAUAAAACGACUAUUUUUCCCUUCUUUCACUUUGUAUUAUUAAUUAUCAUAGAAAUUGUCCAUAGGCCCCACCACCCACAUAUCGCCCCCACUGUCCCCCUCUUUCCCCUUUCACCGUCUUCUUCGCCUAGCUGGCUAGCUCCCCUAUCUGUUGCUGCUAUAAGAGGUCCUGACCCAACCCCUUUUCCUUGGUCGACUUCUCUACCAGAGACAAUCAGGAGUCCAGUCUUCCUCCAUUGCAAUCAUUUUAGUCCGCUACCAUAGACAAUCUCAGGUGCAUUUUUCAUCAUCAUCAAGCAUGGAAAACGCAAGGCAUAGCAUAAAUUCAACGACCAUAUCUUAUCAUCUUCAACACAUUAUUCAGUGAGUUGAAAUCCAAAAUCAUCAUUUAAAAUGCAAGUAUCAUAAAACAUACACCCAAUAAAAUAGAAAAAAGGCAAUGCUUACAACAUAUUGUCACAAUCCAAAACCAGACAACAUGUUUCCAAAAGAAAUUAUACUUUUUGGGUAUUAGAUGAGUGAACUCUUAAAAUUAAGUGAAAAAGUUGCAAGACAAGUGGGGGAUGAUCCGAUGAUGCAAGAACAUCCAAUUUCAGGUGAGAUUUACAAACAAUUGAAGUGAGAUAUUCUUUAAGGCUUCAUAUAUCACCUAAUCUAGGAGACACAGAGGGGGGCCGAGAUGGUCACUUGGAGGGAGGACCAAGAUAACGGGGACAAGAUUUUUAUAUUUACUCUUUUUUUUUUUUUACCAUAAAUCAGUAAUUUUGAGUGAUCACCUAAUUGAUCACUACAAUAAAUAUGUCAAAAUCUUCACAUUUAAUGGAAAAAUAUAAAAAAUUUAAUUUUCAAUCGCUUUUAAUAAUGCGGUGUAAAUAUGUAAUAUCCUAAGUUACAAUUGUUAGAAAAUAUUAAACAAAUGCUUAAGUAGAGUGAAAUAACAAAAAUAAGAAAAUAAGAGAUCCAUACUUAGCAAUAUAGGAAAUCUAGCCUACUUCUCCACACUUAAAAACGUAGUAUAUAGGUAAUUUGUCCAUGUUUUUAAAUGUGGAGUAUUAAAUUGUUUAUCCACAUUUUGAAGUGUAAAGGUUUAGAAAUAAUUUGUUAUGGCACACUUUUAAGUGUGAAUACAUACAAAAAUUGUAUACAAUUGAUUGAUUUAUUGUAGUGUGAUAUGUACAUAUGUACACACACCCACACAUAUGUAGAUACUUAUAUGUGAGGGUAUAUAUAGAGGCACAUACAAAUAAGUGCUGUAACAUCAAAAUAGAAACUGAAAGCUCAAUGACAUCACAUACCUCCUUUCUUUUUAGAACCAAUUCAAUGUAUCUCUUGCUUGCUUCCAAAGGUCUCCUACCAUCUAUACUCACAUUCAUAAGUUUUCUCACAUCAGAAUUGGCCAUGGUCGGUGUGAAUACAUUUACAAACCUCUCACACCUUCGUAUAUUUAUCCAUUCAACUGCUUGAAAGCUGCGGAUGAGGAUAUCAGAGCUACUUUCACCUUUCAUCCUCCACAACUCUCUUAGCUUCCCCAAACCAUAUCCGUCAAUUUGUCUCAAGUUGCUGCUGUGUUCUUCAAUUUCACCAACACAACUCAUGUCAAUGUCAAAUAAGUAAUAACACUUCAAGUCUGAUGUUACCAGAGGAUGAUCUAAAGUAAUAUCACUUCAUCCUAACUUUUCAUCUUUUUGUUUGACUUCACAUCGUGAUGCACCUACAAUGUAAUGUUAUUUUAAAACUAACUGGUAAUGUAGCGUUAAGUAUAAAACAGCGUAUAUUGAAGCUAAGUUUAGCCUAAAACAGGGUAUUUAAAUAUAGUAAAGAAAAGUAUCUUUAUGUUAUUUACAGGGUAAAGUUGUGAGUGAAGGAAGAAAUAUAAUUGAUCACCAAGGUGACCCAGUUUGUGUUUUUCUUUUGAAAACAAGUAAUUUUGCUGUAAGUAAGUACACAUGGAAAAAAAGGUUACAUAUUGAAAUUUCUCCGGCCAAAUCCACCACCAGAAACAACCGCCAGUCACCACAAGAUACAAGUUCCAGGGAGUACUCAGUGACAUGUGGUGGUAGCUGGGCUGUUUGAAAUCAGAAGAUGUCUGAAAAACAAAAUCAUGAAAAAAAAAGGUUACACAGGGAAAUAUGAUUACAGCCAGCAGGUGAAACUAUUAUUUCUUUUUGUGUCAAAUGAGUUAUUUGCUAACUUCAUAAAUUGACAAGAAUAAUAAUUAUCUCUAUGAAAUUAACAGUAUGUUUAUAUAUCCAAAGAUUACUGAGAAAAGAACCAUUUCACAUGACCAAUAAUCAAACAGAAAAAUGCCUAAAAUUUUAAUUUUAAAUGCAUUAAAUCUUACCUAUUAUGCUAUAUAUAUAGCUGACUUCAAAAUGAGCCAAACUGCACAUGUGAAUUCAAAUGUUUCUCUAGAACUGCCAUCCCUGUAGGAGAUUACAACAAAGUGGUAAAUUAGAGAGUAAUGUAAAGUUUUUGUUGGAGAAAACAUUAAUCUGUUAAUAAUAACCAAAUGAGACACCACAUACCUCUUUCUGUUUGGUCUGUAUAAAAGAGUUUGGGUCUUCCAUUGCAUGACACAAUCCAAAAGUUGUAUCUAUUAACUUCAGCUCCGGAGUAGUUGAUUGCCCAUUUGUGAAAACUGUUAUUUGUGGACAAUCUUUGAUUUCCAAGGUAUCUAAUAAUGGCCAUUCAAAAGCCACCUUGCCCAGGCAAAAUCCCUUGAGAUUUGGAAGCUUUUCAAGUGUUAUGGAUUUUAGACAAGGGAACACAACCUCAGUAGUAUUCGGUCUGGUUUCGGAAUCUUCAACUUGCUUCACAAUCACAUCCAUACUCUCGCAGUCACUUAUUUUUAACUCUUGGAGCUGCAAUAGACUACCAACCAUGCAACUACUGAAAACGUGUCCAAGAAGCCGACAUUUAUUAAUUGAGACCUUUGUAAGGUUUGGAAAGUUCAACACUAUCCACCGAUUGCUCUUCCACAUAUGCUUCAGAUUAUUUAAUCUACCCAAAGUCACCUCUUUCAGCUUCUCAAAUACCACAACAGAUUGCAUUCCAAUAUCCACAUCUUCAUUUGUCCCUUCUGCUACUUCAAAUACUUCCUCUAUUUUAGAUUCACCAUACUUCAUGGUAAUAGAAAGCUUUUCAAGAUUCUUCAAAUUAAGCAACUCGUUGCAUGGAAAAAUUAUGCGGCUUUUCAACAAUUUGUCACUCUUUUGUGCAUCUACUUCAAGUAAAUUUGAAAAAGACCAAGGGAACUGAACUAGCUUUAUCAUAUCUGGAGUAGAGCACAUAGAGAGUUGAGUCUGCUAAGAAAAAACAAACAUAAAUCAUCAUAAACAUGACAAUUAUUAAUGAAAAAUACAUUUAGUAUACAAAUAUAUUGAAGGCUUGCAAGUUCUGUUAUUCUUCAUUGAGCCAACAUGUAUUUCCAAUCAACAACCUAGUUUAUGACACUGCUUACAUUAUUUUCUGUGAAGCUGAGCACUGUGAAGAAAAAUUCUGAUUUAUAUAUUGCAUUUGUUCAAACAAUUUAGAUUUUCUCGAUGAUUGUCGAUUUGUUUAAACAAAUUAGAUUUUAUCGAUGAUUGUCGAGUCUUUUUAAAUAAAAGUAAAAAAAUUUCAAUUUGUGCNUAGUUUGUGGGUGAGUGGGUAGGGAGGAUAAAAUAAAAAGUAAAAGUUAAGUGUUUUGGCUACUUCAAAUAUGUAGUUUUUCAUGUACUGAAUAUUGUUACAUCCAGCUUUUUUAGGAAAAAAGAUAACUAUGUUAUUGUAUUUUUAUUGCAUUGUCAAAUACAACAAAUGAUAUCUUCCUAUCUAAUAAAAGAAUCCAUUUCUGCCACGUGUCAAUUUUUAACCCCAAGAGUUUUCAAAGUGAACUGCCAAAAUUGCCCUUCACCUUUAAAAUCCACAACUGUAACAUAUCCCCAAAUUUCUUUUGAUCGGUUUAUUCCCAAAAUCACGUUUCCUAUUCCCCUGAUUUCUCUUCUCUAUUUUGGAAACUAGAUAUUGAUUUGAAUUUUAAAACUCACAGAUCGAUUCUAUAAAUACGAGGAACGAAAUCGAUACCAUAAAUGAUCGUGAAUCUGAGUUUUAUAGGAUUGCAAUUUCAUAUCUUCGACCAAAUUGUUGCCGGUGCUUUCAAGAAUCUAUGGAGGUAAAAACAUGUUUAUAUUUUUAUAUUUUUAUGUUUUUAGUUCUCUCGAUCUGUCAUGUUUGUUUCUUUGAUUGCCCAUUUUUUGAAUUGCUAAUGUUGUUUGUUGAUUGAAUUAAAGGUUUUUGUUUGUUCGAAUGAUUUGAAUUGCUAAUGCUUUCUUUCUUUCCGGUUGUCAUUUUUCACCAAUUCUCCUAAUAAAAUAGGAAAUAGAUUUGAAUUCCAUGGAAAAAUCAGAAAUCCUAAUCAUAUCUAAAUUUAAAUUCGAUGGGUAGGUUUUUGAUUUAUAUAUACCUCUAGCUCUCACUUUCGGUCGCAUCUACUUUAAGUUACAAUCGCGAUUCUCCAAAGUGCCGAUUAGAAAUUGAACUUGCACAAGUGUUAAAGGCGUCAAUUUGGAAUUGGAAGUUUAUAAUUUAUUUUGUUUAAAUUAACAUCCAUUUUCACACAUUUUGUUGGAAGUAAUUAGCUAAGUGCUUGGUUUUUUUAUCAUAAGAAAUAUAUGUCAUUGAUGAUUACACUAUAAUUAGUUUUUUUUUUUUUUUUUUUUUUUUUUUUUUUUUUUUGCCAUUCAUUGUAAUUUCUAGGUGUAAGGUAAUGAUAGGUGGAAGUUAAUUGAAGAAGACGGCUAUAAAGUCGUUUUUUAUUUCAUUCUAGAUGAACAAGAAUAUGCACUACAAAAACAAAAUUUAUUAACGGUAUAUUCAUGACAACCAUAGCUUAACAUUUGUUUUUAUUGUUUCUUUUGUAUUCAAAAUAUACCUCUAAUUUUUUUUUUAAAAAAGUAUCCCUAAUCUUUUUUUUUUGUUAUUGAGUUUGUAUUCAGAAUGAUAUAUCAUCACGUGAAGAGGAAAAGGGAACUAAGUGGGCAAUGACAGAGGUGAAUGAAGUAUCUGUAACAGAUCUAUCUUUUGAGGGAAAUAACAAUGCAUUAUUGACCAUCCACACCAGUCAAAUUGUCAUUUUUAUGUUCAUUUAAAUAGGUUCUUAUUUUGUUGAGAAAAAAAUUGUUUUAGUGUCAACUUUAUUUCAUUAUGUUAACCCAUAUAGCUAUUAUUUAUUUUACAUGUUUAAUGCUUCCGCACAGUCACUCUCUUGCUUACGGUCAUAAUUUGAGGACUAAAUUUGUUAGAAGUGAAGCAAAUAAUCUGAUCGACUCAAGGAUCAAAAGUAACAUUUAUUUAGAAAAAUAACAUAUGAACCGUUAAAAUCAAUGACUCAAGGACCAAAAAUACUGUUAAAACCAUGAAACAAGCAUCAAAUCUUAAAUAAAAUUCUCUUUUGAAACUUAAGAAAGUACAAACUACGGGUGUGUUUGGGAUUGCUUUUUGAACAUAAAAGUUCUUUUUGUAAAAGAACUUUAUCUAAAAGAUGGUGUUUAAAAUGUGUUUGGCUUAUCUUUUAUAACUUUUAAGUGAUAAAAGCUAAAAGUCACAAAAACAUAGGAAUUCCUAUAUUUUCUUCAGCCAACUUUUCCUUCUUGACUAAACGUUUGGUUUUAAAAGAUCUUUUUAAUUUGCUAAACAACUUUUAGUAAUUUUUUAGUAAUUUUUAACUUUUUGAAAAAGUUAAAAGUCCAAGAUGAUUAAAAAGAAAUGCCAAACACCUUUUACAUGACCAACUUUAAUGUUUACUCUACAUAAAUUUUAAAUAAAGACCAAAUUAUACGCUACUGUAAUUUGUUAAUUUUAAGUUUAAUAAACGUUCUAUUUCUUGAAUCUAAAAUUUUCAUUUAUUUUAUUUAAAAAAGUAUUCUUUUAGCUUUUGUAUUGUUAAAUUUAUUUUAUAAUUAAUGGUGAUAAAAACAUUUUUUAUAUGAUUUACUAAGAUCAUGUCCUUUUAAGUAUAUUGCUUGAUAUAACCAAUAAAAGAGUAUUAACAGAUAUGAAAUUUUAGUUACUACAAAACACAUUUAGUUAACAAACACGAAAGUCAGAUCUACGAAAAGUUAACCCUCAAACCCAAUUUGUUUAAAUGUCAUCNNNNNNNNNNNNNNNNNNNNNNNNNNNUAUAUAUAUAUAUAUAUAUAUAUAUAUUAAUUUUAAAUAACCAAUACAAAAAAUUUUAAAAAAAAUCUUAAAUCUUAUUAAUAAUUUAAAUGGUUUGUAAAUAUUUUACCUGUGGUUUUCACAUGUUGUAACCUAGUAUGGAUGAUAUACUUAUACUUUUACAAUCAUCUCAGCAAUACUAU